rnacentral:lncRNA from 1 species
UAAUUAAUUUGAGGUGGAUGAGGAUCUAAUUUUGGGGUGUGUAAUCUUGGUCAAGACGACUAAGACUAAGCAAAGCAAGAAGAAUGAAGAGUAUAGAACAACAGUUGACCAUGCCAUGUGGAAAGGUCUUGUCCAUGGAACUUACUAAGUCACGACAGUCAUCCAUUUUCAACGUUGUUCACUCUCUGUCGCCUUUAGGUUUUCAGGUCGUCUGGUAUAUAUAAGCCUCUGAAGAACACACACCUCAUUUCACCUAGCAAAGUCUCUUCUUCUUCCUUUUCUUCUUCAGUUUGAUAGGGGUCAUCUAGUAGAUAUAUAUACAUAAAUAAAUGCAAAAUACUUAUGUGUAAUUAGAUACUAUAAGAAAUAAAGUGUAGCGAAGUAAGUUCGAGUUCUAAAUUGAUUAAGAAGCAGAAACCAUGGCGGGUGGUGGAUUUGGGACCGGGACGGGAGGAGGAGACUUUGAGGCAAAGAUCACACCUCUUGUGAUCAUUUCUUGCAUAUUGGCCUCCAGCGGAGGCCUCAUGUUUGGUUAUGACGUUGGUAUUUCCGGUACGUACGUAUGUAGCAAAGAGCUAGCUAGCUAUGUUCUCAUGCAUGCAUGCAUGGAAGCAAAUGGUUAUAUAUUGGUCUUCUUAAAACACAAUUAAUUAAAAAUUAUUUGAUACUACGUAUGUAAACAUAAUUAAUUUAUAAUGUAGUCUAAUGAUGAUCAAAUUAUAAUUGAUCAUGCAGGGGGUGUUACAUCCAUGCCGGAGUUCCUGAGGGAAUUCUUCCCAACAGUGUAUAAGAAGAACAGCCAGCCUGGACUUGAAAGCAAUUACUGUAAAUACGAUAAUCAGGGCUUGCAGCUGUUCACAUCUUCAUUGUACCUCGCUGCUUUGGUAGCUACCUUCGUUGCGUCCUACACAACCAAAUCGCUAGGCCGAAAGCUAACCAUGUUGAUGGCGGGGAUUUUCUUCCUCGUCGGAACAGUUUUCAAUGCUGCAGCUGUUAACCUUGCCAUGCUUAUCAUUGGCAGGAUCUUACUUGGUUGUGGAGUUGGUUUUGCAAACCAGGUUUAAUUAACUCUUAAUCUUAUCUUAAUUUCCAUUAUAAGGAUUUGUAGUUUGAACACAUAAUAUUCAUAAAUUUAAUUCCAUGUAAUUAAUGGAUAUCUAUAUGAUUGAUUACAGGCGGUGCCACUUUUCCUUUCGGAGGUUGCACCCACAAGAAUUCGUGGGUCACUAAAUAUACUCUUCCAGCUGAUGUGCACCAUUGGCAUUCUUGUAGCAAACAUGAUCAACUAUGGAACUUCCAAGUAAUUAAGCCAAUAUAAUUAAUUAUUAGCUAGUUAUAAAUAUUAAUCACAUAUAAGGUGUAAUGAAGUUGUGCUAUGUACCACCUGCAUGCAGAAUGUCAGGGCCAAAUGGAUGGAGGAUAUCACUGGGUUUAGCUGCCAUUCCAGCACUCUUGUUAACCAUGGGGUCUCUCAUUGUAACAGACACUCCUAACAGUUUGAUUGCUCGCGGUAAGAUGGAGGAAGGGAAAGCCAUUCUUAAAAAGAUUCGCGGUGUUGACAACGUCGAACCAGAGUUCUUAGAAAUUGUUGAGGCCAGUCGUGCGGCUAAUGAAGUGAAGCAUCCCUUCAGAAAUCUCCUUAAGCGCAGAAACAGGCCUCAACUGGUCAUUGCAAUUUGCAUGCAGGUGCUGCGACUAUAGCCUAUUGCUGUGUUAACUAGUUUUCACAAUCACAUAUUAUUAGAUAGUCUGACAUGUUAUGUUUGUACGUGCAUACAGAUUUUCCAGCAAUUGACUGGCAUUAAUGCAAUUAUGUUCUACGCUCCCGUUUUGUUCAAGACCUUGGGAUUUAAGAGUGACGCUUCCCUUUACUCAUCCGCCAUAACAGGAGCUGUCAAUGUCCUCUCAACUGUUGUAUCAAUCUACUUUGUGGACAGAGCUGGUCGCCGCGUGCUCCUGCUAGAAGCGGGUGUUCAAAUGUUCCUUUCUCAAAUUGUGAUUACAGUAGUGCUCGGAAUCAAACUUAAGGACGACGUGAACAACCUCGGCCAUGGCUUGGGAAUUCUUGUGCUGGUUUUCGUGUGCAGUUUCGUUGCAUCCUUUGCAUGGUCUUGGGGACCUCUUGGGUGGUUGAUUCCUAGUGAGAUUUUCGCACUAGAUGCUCGCUCAGCUGGCCAAAGUGUGGCUGUCUUUUUCAACAUGCUCUUCACCUUUAUUAUAGCCCAGGCCUUCCUCUCAAUGCUUUGCCACAUGAUGUUUGGCAUUUUCUUGUUCUUCGCAAUUUGGGUCUUCGCCAUGACUCUCUUCACUCUCUUCUUAAUUCCGGAGACGAAAGGUGUCCCUAUUGAAGAGAUGACUGAGAGAGUAUGGAAGAAGCACUGGUUCUGGAAGCGAUAUAUGGAUGAAGUCGAGGAUAAUCCCAAGGCCCAGGCAAAUGCUUAAAGCACUUAUCCUUGCCUGCAGGGUUCUUAGAUUUUACAAUUUCCACGAAUUUAAGUUUUAGGAGUUCUUGUUUAGUUCUAGUAGACCUUCAUCUCGCACCCCCAUGCCAUUUGAUUUGUUUUUCUUCCUUUGAACGUAGCUUCAGUUUCAUUCCAAGCAAAGUACUUGUCAGCAGUGUAUAGACUACACUCUGCAUGGCAAUUGCUUUAAUAAUUGUUAUUUUCGCCGAUUAAUGUAAGGUUUAUCUUUUAUUGUUAUGUCACGCAUGAUCUGGUCUAUCUUAAAAUAUAUUAUUCAAAACAAAUUAAAAAUAUUCGUAGGUUAGUACAUCUGGUUUACCUUGUGGCAACAUCCAUUUUAAGACAUAUGCAAGAUGUACUAGUUAACGAAUUAACUGCCACAUGAUAAGGUUAGGAAAUGUGUGGCCCUUCUAGUUUUACUCUAGACAGACUCGAUCAACUUUAGAUGUACUAGUUCAACGAAUUUCGCUUUAAUGCCUGACCAAGCAAUCAAAACCAACCAUAGAUCAUGCCAUGGGGAAGGAUCCUGACCAUGGUACAGACUAAAUCAUGCCUUUUUCUAGGAAAGUUCACUCGCUGUUGCCCUGAGGUCACCUAGUAUAUAAACCCCUCAAGCACACAUUUCAUUUCAGCGAGCUAGUUUUUCAAAACAGUGUCAUUGAGGUUGGCUAGCAUAUACAAGUAUCCGCAUUCAUCAAAUUAGAUACGCAGAAUCAAAGUGUAGCGAAAUAAGUUUCAGUACUUAAAUAGGAAGCAGAAACAAUGGCCGGAGGUGGCUUUGGGGCCGCAUCGGGAGGCGGAGACUUUGAAGCAAAGAUCACGCCUCUAGUGAUCAUGUCUUGCAUAAUGGCCGCUAGCGGAGGCCUCAUGUUCGGUUAUGAUGUUGGUAUUUCAGGUAGGCAUUGUGGAGCUUUUCAUAUCAUUCACGUAAAAUUAAUUAACCAUUUUUUUUUUGGGGUUAAAAAGUUAAUUAGAAUUCUUUCUUAAUUUAAUUAAUUUGACACGUGUGAUCAUUGUGAUGGAUGCAGGGGGUGUUACAUCCAUGCCUCCUUUCCUGAAACAAUUCUUCCCGGUUGUUUAUAAGAAGACUCAAGAGACUGGACUUGAGAGCAACUACUGCAAAUACGACAAUCAAGGCUUGCAGUUGUUCACAUCUUCCUUGUACCUCGCUGCUUUAAUUUCAACCUUCUUUGCGUCGUACACAACCCGAUCCCUGGGGCGAAAGCUCACCAUGUUCAUUGCUGGGGUUUUCUUUGUAGUCGGAACAGUUUUUAAUGCUGCAGCUGUUAACCUUGCCAUGCUUAUCAUUGGGAGGAUCUUGCUUGGUUGUGGAGUUGGUUUUGCUAACCAGGUACAUAAUUAUUUCCUAAUCUUAGCUUUUUCUAUAACAUGCUAGGUUUUACUAAUUAAUGAAUAUAAGUACAGGCAGUGCCGCUUUUUCUUUCGGAGAUUGCACCCACAAGAAUUCGCGGGGCACUUAACAUACUCUUCCAGCUAAAUAUCACCAUUGGCAUUCUUUUCGCAAAUCUUAUUAAUUAUGGAACUGCCAAGUAAGCCACCAUCCUCCCUAAUAUUCCAUUAAUCAUCACCGGUAAUUAGACACGAGUGAUUAAUUAAUGUACUUUUUCUGGCACAGAAUUGAAGGGGGAUAUGGAUGGAGAGUGUCACUAGGUUUGGCUGGCAUUCCAGCAGGUAUGCUGACUAUUGGGUCUCUCAUUGUGGUAGACACACCUAACAGUUUGAUCGAACGAGGUAAGUUGGAGGAAGGAAAAGCAGUUCUUAAAAGGAUUAGGGGUGUUGACAAUGUGGAUCCAGAAUUCUUAGAGAUUGUGGAGGCAAGUCGUGUGGCAAAAGAAGUGAAGCAUCCUUUCAGAAACCUCCUUAAGCGUAGGAACAGGCCUCAAUUGGUCAUUGCAAUUUGGAUGCAGGUGCCGCAACUAUACUAGAACUUGUGCUAACUAAGGCAUUUCAAAAUCUUAGUUACAUUUAACGCGUAUAAGAUAAUCUCACAUGUUAUGUUUUACAUGCCUACAGAUUUUCCAGCAAUUUACUGGCAUUAACGCAGUCAUGUUCUACGCUCCAGUUUUGUUCCAGACCUUGGGAUUUAAGAGUGAUGCUUCCCUCUACUCAGCUGUUAUCACAGGAGCUGUCAAUGUCCUCUCAACCGUUGUAUCAAUAUACUUUGUUGACAGAGCUGGUCGGCGCGUGCUAUUGUUAGAAGCCGGUGUCCAAAUGUUCCUUUCUCAAUUGGUGGUUGCAAUAAUAAUGGGACUCAAAGUGAAGGAUCACUCUAACAACCUUGGCCAUGGCUUGGCAAUUAUUGUGGUGCUUAUGGUUUGCAGUUUUGUUUCAUCCUUCGCGUGGUCUUGGGGACCUCUCGGGUGGUUGAUCCCUAGCGAAACAUUCCCAUUAGAGGCCCGCUCAGCAGGCCAGAGUGUGGCUGUCUGUACCAACAUGCUCUUCACCUUUAUCAUAGCACAGGCCUUCCUCUCAAUGCUUUGCAACAUGAAGUUUGGCAUUUUCCUCUUCUUCACAUUUUGGGUCUUUGUCAUGACAAUUUUCGUUGUGGUCUUAAUUCCUGAGACCAAGGGUGUCCCUAUUGAAGAGAUGACAGAAAGAGUUUGGAAGCAACACUGGUUCUGGAAGCGAUUCAUGGAUGACGUAGAAGAUGAUCCUAAGGGCAAGUUGCAUGCUUGAACUAUCUGAAUUCAGAUAGUUUAUUAUCUGCUUGGUGGUUUAUUAGAUUUUAUAAGUUCCCUGAAUUUGAGGCUUAAUAGUUCUUCUUUGGUUCUAGUAGCCUCACAACACGCGCUCUCUGCUUGCCAAAUAAUCUGCUAAUUUAUUUUCUGAGAGGCAAUAUUUGAACAAAAUGUAUUCCUGCAGGCCCCUCUUGGAUUACAUUUCAUUCUUUUGAUUUCGUUUAUCAAUUCAAUUGUCGGAACUGCCCUCUGUCUAUCUGCAUGGAUUUGAUGAAUUGUGUUUUUCUUAAAGCAAACUUGUCAAAAUGAAGAGGAUAACAAGAAAGAAUGUUUAUCCCGAGAGAGAUGUUUUUGAGCUCUCCUCUCUCUCAACAAAAUGAAAGCAUAAGAGAAAGGAGAGCUCAAAAAUGCAUUGCUAAAAUCUUUAAUAUUAUGGAAAUAUGAAAAUGUACAAUUGUAGUGAUAUACAAUUGCAAUAAUAUGUACAAUUGUGAUGAACAAAAUUGAAAGCAAAUUUCUAAAGGCAUAAGAAACCAAACAAAAUUAACAACCGCCAUGCAUACGCCGUAAGAUGGUUUAAGCAUUUGCCUGGGCCUUGGGAUUAUCUUCGAUUUCAUCCAUAUAUCGCUUCCAAAACCAGUGCUUCUUCCAUACUCUCUCAGUCAUCUCUUCAAUAGGGACGCCUUUCGUCUCAAGAAUUAAGAAGAGCGUGUAGAGAGUCAUGGCGAACAGCGAGUGAACUUUCAUAGAAAAAGGCAUGAUUUAGUCUGUGUCAUGUUCAGGAUCCUUCCCCAUGGCAUGAUCUAUGGUUGGUUUUCUUUCUUGAUUGCUCGGUUAGGCAUUAAAGCGAAAUUCAUUGAACUAAAGUUGAUCGAGUUUGUCUAGAGUAAAACUAGAAGGACCACAGUUCCUAACCUUAUCCUGUGGUAGUUAAUGAAGGAAGUUGAGGUUCCACCCCAAAACCAAUUGGCAAUGGGAAGAGUAGCCCAACUCCUUAUAAACCUAGGCUAGGUCCCUUAACAUUUCAAUGUGGGACAAACACUCUCAAUAGUUAAUUCAAUGUGCUCGUCUAUUUGUUUAGUCACACUUGAAAAAUAAUUAGUCCAAAUCAUGAGAAGCAUUAUGCAUUGGGUCUAAAUGCGUGGUUAGUUUCGUGUUAAGUUACAAAUUGUUAGCUCUUGACCGCUACUACAAACAUAUUUGUUUUGUGACACUUUUAAUAUUAAACAAUAAUCUCAAUUAAUUGAACCUUGUCAAUUUUUUACAUUUCUUCAUGUGGGAGUUUAGAAAGAACCUAUCAUUUUAUUUUCGAGAGGGGUCACAAAAAGCUUAUGGCCGGCCUUAGGCAUAUAGGGACAUAUUGACUGUUGGCAGACAAAGAAAGGAACAUAUGGAAAAUUCUGUAGAAAUAAAUAUGGUAGCAUUAGUCAGGCAUGUCUAUUUCACGUCUGUUAGUUAGAGACACAGUUAGAAGUUGUUACGGUUGUAAAGAAUUAGUUAAGACUAAAACAAUCUACAAAGCUUAGAGAGUCUCAUUUGUAUCUCUAACAGAUUGAAGAAAAUCAGAAAAGCUUUUCAUUUUCGUCUUCUUCCAUUGAACCUUCCUUUCUGGUUAUCAUGGCAUCAGAGCAUGGACUUGGUUCUGCGUGUAAUCUUCAGCUUCUUCGACUUUUCUUGUUCUUCAAUUGUAAUUGUUUUGUGGCACGAAGCUGUCCUUCUGUGUAUUGUUUUCUGAUGCCAUCUGUUUCUUGUUCCUCGUGUCGUCAAUUUCACCCAAAACUGAUGGUUUACUUGGCAUGAUUUUGAGUCGAGUACAUGAGGAUAAUUUGUUGAAAAGGAGAUAACAAAUUCAGUCAGUUCUUGAGGGUUACGACCUUUUUGGUUACUUUGAUGGUACAGUGGUGUGGUGUGGUGUCCACCAAAGUACGUAAUUACAGUUAAAUGAGGGGGCACCAAUGAAAUUACUGUGGCUCUUAUAGAGAUUGGAUGGCACACAGAUAAAGCUUUGCUCAGUUUGCAUCUUGCCACUCUUUAUGAGGAAGCUAUUAAGCAUGUGGUUGGUAGUAGAAUUCUCAUGAGGCUUGGGCUAUUUUCAAAAAGAUCGCUAUGCUACAGUUUCUCCUACUUAAUCAUCUUAAGACAGUUAUUAAAUGCCAUCCGGAAAGGUGCAGAUUCCAUUAAUAGAUAUUUGUAAUGGAAGCAAACUCAGGAUCAACUCAAGACGAAGUAAUGUGGUUUUCUUAGGCAAUAAUCUCAUCUCAUGGCAGUCUAAGAAACAAGGUUCAGUAUCUUGAAGCUCUACUGAAGCUGAAUACAAAGCUUUGGCUAAUGCAUCUGCAGACAUUGCUUGGAUCAGAUCAGACAACUGCUCUGUCAUCUUCAUGUUGUUCUUCCAGAUCCACCAAAUCUUCAUUGUGCCAAUUUGUCAGCACUUGCUUUAAGCGAUUAGAUCCUGUUUAUCACUCUCACAUUAAACAUUUUGACAUUGACUUCAUAAUCUUAAGCUGGGUGCCCCAGCUACAAUUGAGGGACAACUAUAGAAGUUGUUACGUUUGUUACUAAUUCUGUUUAAGAAUUAGUUAAGACCAAGCUAUAAAGCUAAAGAGUCUCACUUGUAUCUCUAACAGAUUGAAGAAAAUCAUCAGAAAAGCCUUGUGCAAAUCUUUCUUUUCAAUUUCCUUUUCCUCUCCGUUUGUCUUCUUCCACUGAAUCUUCCUCUCUGGUUGUCAUCAUGAACCCCUACAAAGUUAAACUACAUACAAUUAAGGACAGCUUUGACAACUGAAUUGAUAAACAAGAUUGAAAAAUGUUAAAUUUAAUGCACACUUGAAGAAUAUAGAAAAAUCUAGAAGAAAUUAGAAAACUCAAGAAAGUUCACUAACUUUGACAAAGUCAAGUUUUAAGAGAGGAUUAUUGUAAACUCUAGAAAAUUCAUAAUAAAAAUCUCGUAAUAAGGUAAUAUUAUAUUAUAAAGUAGUGGCUAGGAGAAGAAACCAAGUCCACCGACUUGGACAAUGGCGGCAGCUUUAGUAUAUAAAUAGAUGUUAUUGUCUCUUGUACAAAGCUAAGAGAGUAAGAACAGGCCAAAUAGCCAGCAAAGAGAGUGAGAACAGGCCAAUAAGCCAAAAGGCAAGCCUAGCAAAUAGUUUCUUUCUAGUUGUUGAAGGCCAAUAAGCCUACCCCUACAUAAAGCCUUGUACCCAUCUUUUGUUGAAUAAAUAAAAUCACUAUUUUGUUCUCUAAAACCCAACAAGUGGUAUCAGAGCAUCACAUAGGCUCAUCACACACCCACUAUAUUCCAACAAAAAAGAAUAAAAUGCAUGAGAGGUAGCAGGAAUAAUUAUCAUUGGAAAUAAUGCAAUCCAAGAGAGGAGUGCAGGACUGCAUUUCGUAAGUGCCCUCUCAAAAAUUAAAGAAGAAAUCCUAAGCUUCAAAUCGAGAUAGGAGGAGGUAAGAUAGUUCAAGGCAUGCAACUUGCCCUUAGGAUUAUCUUCAAAGUAUCGCUCCCAAAACCAGUGUUGCAUCCGAACUCUUUCUGUCAUCUCUUCAAUAGGGACACCCUUGGUCUAAGGAAUUAAGAUCACAACGAAAAUUGUCACGAUAAAGACCCAAAAUGUGAAGAAGAGGAAAAUGCCAAACUUUAUGUUGCAAAACAUUGAGAGGAAGGCCUGUGCCAUGAUAAAGGUGAAGAGCAUGUUGGUACAGACAGCCACACUUUGGCCGGCUGAGUGGGCCUCUAAUGGGAGCAUCUCGUUAGGGAUCAACCACCCAUAGGUCCCCAAGACCACGCGAAGGAUGAAACAAAACUGCAAACCAUAAUCACCACAACAAUUGACAAGCCAUGGUCGAGGUUGUUAGAGUGAUCCUUCAAGUUGUGUCCCAUUAUUAUUGCAACCACAAUUGACAAAGGAACAUUUGGACACUAGCUUCUAACAAUAGAACACGACGACCAGCUCUGUUGACAAAAUAUAUUGAUACAACGGUUGAGAGGACAUUGACAGCUCCUGUGAUAACAACUGAGUAGAGGGAAGCAUCACUCUUUAAUCCCAAGGUCUGGAACAAAACUGGAGCGUAGAACAUGAUUGCGUUAAUGUUUGUGCAAAUAAUCUCACGGGAGAAUAUUCGCCCAAGAUUCCUUCGUCUUCUCCGCCUCUCUUUCUCCCUGCAAAACAGAUCGGAGUAAAAGGACCACACCCGGGGGGUGUUGGCCAAAGGCCCUCCGAUGCCUAAGUUAGGUAAGGGAAUUCAAGGAAAACCGGGUGGCCGGAGCUGUGUGUGGUGGCCGGAGCCUUGUGUGAGAGAGAGAAAGAGAGGAGGUGGCUAGGGUCUCUGAGAAAAUAAUUUAUGCAGAGUUUGAGUAGGAAUUUAGACGUACCUCAUCCUUGUGUGUAACCAGGUAUUUAUAGUGGCUUUUGGAGAGGUAGGUGGGGUUGGUGGGGUUGGUGCAUUUAGGGAUUAUGGAUGAACCGAAUCCCUAAUUAAAUUGGGGAUCAAGUAACCCCCAAUUUGAUUAGGUAAUUCCCAAUUAGGUUAGGUAACUCCUAAUUAGGUCAAAUAAUUCCCAAAUUGAUUGGCCUAAUUAAGUGACCUAGGGUUUUGAUUUAAUUAGGUUCCCACAAAUGCCCCCCAGCUUCUGCGUGGCGUGCGGCGGCAUGUAGGAGAUGUGGAUUAACCGUUGGGCCAUCCAACUGCAUCUGGGCUUCCUUAUUUGAAUUGGGCUCCUGCAUGGAGGAGGCUUUUUACUCGGGCUGUCCAGCUGUAACUGGGCUGGAGGUGCGCGAUCUGCUGCUGGAGCAAGUGGCAGUUUAGGUCAUCUUUUUUGUGGAUGAUCCAAAUUGCUUCAAUUCCUUCUUAUUUUUGUGCCACGAACUAGGAUCAGUAUGAGUCAAGGCGAUCAUGUGCGGAGCACGAACGUGCUGAAAGUCAGCGGCAGAUAGGAAGAGGAGGUUGGCGACGAUCCGCUCGUUCCUCUCACCUACUGCAAUGGUAAGUUGCAUCCCUCUGAUCUGCUAUUGUUGCCAUGGAACUCUUUGCUGUGUCUGACUAACUUUUGUCUUAUGCUUGCAGAUGAUGCCAUCCGAAAGAAGCUCGUUCUCGACCCGGACAUGACGAAGGUUCGACAAGCUUUGAGCAUCCCCGCCAAGUUUCGUGAAUGGCGCUGGCUGCUGAGCGAACAUCGGAAGGAAGUCGGUGGCCUGCCCCCUGCUGAAGAUAUUGAAAGGUGGAAGUCGUGCUGCUUGGAGCUAAGUGACUUGCCAGUUGAGCGGGAUGAGUCAUCGACUGAGUCCCCUGAGGGUGGGAAAGCGUGUAGUAGCUCUGCUCGAGAUGAAGCUGCAGUUUCACGAUCAGUGGAUAUGUUUCCACAGGGAAGGCAGCCGAGAUCUUCUCUUGCCACGAACAAGUCUUCUACAAGGGAGGUCUCGCCUGCUCAGAAGGCCCAUAUGGGAGUUGCUCCUGCCUCGUCUGCCGGGAUCAAACGCCUCGUCAGCGCGAACAGCAAGAAGGCCAACGGCAUGCAGGAGGUUCGGGAAAUUCUGCUCAAGUCUUUGCCCGUGCUGCCUAAGACCCGUGAUCUGCCAUGCAAGGAAGCCGCUGGGAAGCAAGGUUUGGGUCGUCCGUGCCGAUCUGGGAACCAAGCUGAGAUGACUGUACCUCUGUCUAGCAACCACGACUCAUCUACGGGGCCACGAACAGUCAAGCACAAGGCUGACUCAAUGUUGCAAGUUGCAGCCAAAAGAGCUAAAGAGUCGUCUGCUCGAGCGAAGAGUCCUCCAAUUGCACGAACUGCCGGUCCGGGAACUGGUGAUAGCUCUGCUAGGGGCGAGCCAGUGUCUGAUCUGCUGAAAACAGGCUUUCUGUCAAGUCCAUCUGCUUGCGCUAAGCUAGUUGAUCACAUGUAUCGAGCUGGUGACCUUUGUGCUUUCUCGAGCCUUCCCUUGGAUAAGCAAGAAGAAGCUGCAAUUGAGGAAGACAAAUGCCAAGGUGGGUCAGCUGAUGAGGGUAAAGCGGAUGCGAAGGAGCAAGCAGCCGAGGCGGUUGAGCAAGUUGUGCUGGUUGGGCAGAAUGAGGCUGUUGCCAGUGCAGUUGAGGAUGUGACCGGCUAAGGGUCUCCUGCUGAAGUUCCCUAGUAGUUGUAGUUCAUUUUUGCUAUUUUUGAACUUUGUUAUUUUCUUUCAAUAAGUGGUCUUUGUUUGACCAUCUUACUUUUUGUUGAACUUGGCUGAUUGGCCGCUUUGUUAUGGAAUUUUCAGUUGUCUUUCGAACUUCAAUUCUCAUUGUAUCUUGUAAGUGUGUGUCCGGAGACAUAGCACUUGGAAGAUAUAGCGCUUGAAAAAGACUCCAUUGAGUUUGUGCUCCAGAGAGCAGCUUGUCUGCAAUUGAGGUAAGGCUUGUCGCAUGUUUGCGUAUGUCGGGGACAUAACGCUUGAAAAAGACUCCAUUGAGUUUGUGCUCCGGGGAGCAGCUUGUCUGCAAUGGAGGUAAGGCUUGUCGCCUGUGUGCGUAUGUCAGGGACAUAGCGCUUGAAAAAGACUCCAUUGAGUUUGUGCUCCGGGGAGCAGCUUGUCUGCAAUGGAGGUAAGGCUUGUCGCCUGUGUGCGUAUGUCGGGGACAUAACGCUUGAAAAAGACUCCAUUGAGUUUGUGCUCCGGGGAGCAGCUUGUCUGCAAUGAAGGUAAGGCUUGUCGCCUGUGUGCGUAUGUCAGGGACAUAGCGCUUGAAAAAGACUCCAUUGAGUUUGUGCUCCGGGGAGCAGCUUGUCUGCAAUGGAGGUAAGGCUUGUCGCCUGUGUGCGUAUGUCGGGGACAUAACGCUUGAAAAAGACUCCAUUGAGUUUGUGCUUCUGGGAGCAGCUUGUCUGCAAUGGAGGUAAGGCUUGUCGCCUGUGUGCGUAUGUCAGGGACAUAGCGCUUGAAAAAAGCUCCAUUGAGUUUGUGCUCCGGGGAGCAGCUUGUCUGCAAUGGAGGUAAGGCUUGUUGCCUGCAUGUAUAUGUUUUGCAGCCUUCUGCUUGAUUUUCCUGGCCUCGGACUUGUCAUCGGGCAAGUUUUCAUUCACUAGGUAGUCAAUGAUGGGUUCUUACCAGCUAGGAUCCUCGUCGAUCUGCAUUAGGUCCGGUUGUUCUGCGUCUUCUAUGCUAGGCUGGUCAAGGUGUUCGACUGGGAUAGAGCGUCUGAACUGGGUAUCCAGUGCUGAUCCUAAGCUUGCCAGUGCAUCUGCGUGCGCGUUCUCUGCUCGGGGCACUUGCUGGAUGGUGAAGGUGGGAAAUGCCUUCAACAGCUCUUGGACUUUGUCAAGGUACAAGAUCAUCCUUGGGUGCUUCGCCAUGUAUUCUCCUAAGGCUUGACUUGUGAUCAGCUGGGAAUCCGAGUAGAUGGCCAGCUUCUUGAUUGAUAGCUCCUUUGCCAAGCGCAAGCCAGCGAGCAAUGCCUCGUACUCUGCCUCGUUAUUUGAAGCCGGGAAGCCAAGUGUGAUAGCUUGCUCUAACAGGGUUCCAUCAAGGGUGAUGAUGACGACGCCUGCUCCAGCUCCUUUCUGGUUUGAUGCUCCAUCUACGCGUAGCUGCCACAUGUCUCUGGGUUGGUCAGGUUCCGCGGAGGUCUUGUUUGCUCUCGAACUUUCCUUCUUUUUGCUGACCAGCUUCUCUUCUUCGGCUGAUGGUGUGGACUCUGCAACAAAGUCUGCUAAAGCUUGGGCUUUUAUCGCAGUCUUUGGCCGGUAGAGGAGGUCGUAUUGGCUUAGCUCUAUUGCCCACUUCAUGUGAGUCGCUGAGAAGCAUCAGGGCUGUGGAGGAUUGAUCUCAAAGGAAAGUCAGUCAUAACGACGAUUCGGUGAGCCUGGUAAUAAGGUCGCAGCGUUCUCGCAGAAACGACAAGGGCCAAAAUGAGCUUCUCCAACUUUGGGUAGCGAGUCUCUGCAUCGAGGAGAGCUUUUGACGUAUAGAAUAUCAGAUGUUGGGCCCCAAGUUCUUCUCGGAUGAGAGCUGAGCUGACGGCCGAGUUAGACACUGCCAGGUACACGAACAAGUCUUCAUCAGGAACUGGCUUCGAGAGCAGGGGAGGUGAAGUAAGAUAGGUCUUUAGACUAUGGAAAGCUACUUCGCACUCCUCGUCCCACUUGUCUUUUUGCUCCUUCUUCAAAGCUUUGAAGAAUGGUCUGCACUUGUCGGUAGACUUCGAGAGGAAUCGGUUGAGGGCUGAUGCUCUGCCCGUCAGACUUUGUAUUUCCUUCACUGUAGAAAGUGACUUCAUCUCGAGAAUAGCUUUAAUUUGGCGUGGGUGUGCCUCUAUACUUCGUUGUGUGACUAAGUACCCCAGGAAUCGGCCGGAUGAUACACCGAACGUGCAUUUACUUGGAUUCAGCUUCAUGCGGUAUUGGCGGAGCAGGCUGAAUGCCUCGGCGAGGUUUUUGAGGUGGUCUCCACGCUUGGGGGCUUUGACCAGCAUAUCAUCCACGUAGACUUCCAUGGUUCUACCGAUCUGCUCCUUGAAAAUCUUAUUCACGAGCCUUUGAUAGGUUGCUCCAGUGUUCUUCAACUCAAAGGGCAUGACCUUGUAGCAGUAGGUCCCUCUCUCUAUGAUGAAAGAGGUCUUCGCCUUGUCAUCGUCGUACAUCAUAAUUUGAUUAUAGCCGGGGUAGGCAUCCAUGAAGCUGAGCAGCUGGUUGCCGAAAGUCGAAUCCACGAGCUGGUUGAUCCUCGACAAUGGGAAGUUGUCUUUAGGGCAUGCUUUGUUGAGGUCGGUGUAAUCGACGCACACUCUCCAUUUGCCCUUUUCUUGUUUUGCCACCAGAACAACGUUGGCCAGCCAUUCUGAGUAGGAGACCUCUUCAAUAAAUCCAGCGGCUAGAAGCUUGUCGAUCUCGACUUCAAUGAUCGCGACUCGCUCGGGAGCGAAGUUGCGUCUCUUCUGCACCACGGGCUUGCUGGCUGGGUUGACAUGGAGGCGGUGGCAGAUGAUAUUUGGGUCGAUGCCGGGCAUGUCAGAUGGUGACCACGCGAAUAUGUCUUUGUUGUUUUGGAGGAAGGUGGUAAGCUCCACCUUCUCGUCUGGGCUUAGGCGUGAGCCGUCCGCGCUUUCUUGUCUGGCUAGUUAGGAUCGAGGGGUACUAACUCAACGUCUUCCUCAGGCUUCCAACCUUCUUCAAGGGAGCCUUCCGGGCGGAUUCCCUCCUCUCGAUCCUUCUUGUUUGGAUUCUGGCGCGAGCCGAUCUGCGCUUCUUUAUCUGGCUGGCAAAGAUCAGGGGGUACUAACUCAACGUCAUCCUCAGACUUCCAACCCUUUUCAGGGGAGUCUUCCGGGCGGAUUCCCUCGCCUUAAUCCUGGCUCAUUAAUUGCUAUUGUGAGGUAACAGCUCCCUUCUCGUUCGAGCUUGCUUGUCUGCUGGGAGCGCUUCGUGCCUCGUUGACAGCUUGCAUUACUGGUGUGAACUGCAUCUGCUUGCUCUUCUUGAGUCCGUGAGCUGUGCAUCUUCUUGCCAUGGCUUGGUCACUAUUGAUCUGCCCGAUUCCGCCUCCAGGGAUGGGGUAGCGAAUCUUCUGGUGUAGAGCAGAUGUGAUAGCCUCGAUCUUGCUGAUCCACGGUCGGCCCAGGAUUCCGUUGUACGGGGAGAUCUCAUCGAUGACCAUGAAGGUUUGUGAGCAGACUACUGGGGGCGAGUGGACGUCAAGGUCGAUCUGUCCAACAGUGAUUGUUGUGGCCCCAUUGAAGCCCGUCAGCGACCUUGCAAGUUUGCUUAUCUUGGGCUCCAAUCCCAUCUGUUGGAUGACAGAUAGUUGCAGGAUGUUGGCUGCGCUGCCCUCAUCCACAUGAACUCGCUCGAUCACAGCUUGUUCAAUCUGAAUGCAGAUGACUAGGGCGUCAUUAUGCGGCAGGUCAAGCCCGAUCAAGUCUUUCUUCUGGAAACCAAUGAUGGGUGUAUCCACGAUAACUGGUACUCCUGUUGUGAUUUGGGAGACAUAAGUCGCCUGCGCGAUCUUCCUCUUGCGCUCCUUGGUGGUCAGCCCGGACUUCUGAGAGUCAGCUAGAAUGGUGUUGAUUCGAAUGACCUUUUGGGGAGGUUCCUUGGCAGCCGCAUCACGAUCCUCGAUCUGUUGGAUGGCCUUCUUUGCGACGAAUUCUGUGCAAUGACCUUCUCUGACCAACUCCUCCAGAUGCCUUUUCCAGGCAUUGCAAUUGUUGGUGUAAUGACCGUGCUCCCCGUGGAAUGCGCAGUAUUUACUGGUGUCCCUCUUAGAGGGGUCUCCUUUCAUGGGUGGCGGUCUCCUCACCCACGGCUUGUCCUUCUCUUGAGCCAGGAUCUGAUGAAUUGGGAUAGCGAACUCAGUGAAGGUCCCAAUUUCUGAGCUUCCCUCUCGGGGCCGCGAUCUGCGCUUAUCUCGGGCUUUUUGCUCGAACUGGUUGCUCUUUUGGCUUGCCUGCUUCGUCGGGUGAUCAACUUGCUUGCUAGCUUUCUUUGAGGCGAUUCGAUCAUCGUCCCAAAGUGCGUAGCGUUCUGCCGUCGCGAACACUUCUGCCAAGGUUUGACUUGGUGUUAUGGCCAGUUCCCGGUAUAGCUCGUGCUCGGUUGGCAAGCCCUUCUUGAAAGCUGAGGAUGCAACUUGGUCAUUGCAUCCUAUGAUGUUAGCCUUUUCAGCCUUAAACCGUCUCAGGUAGUCUCGUAGAGACUCGUCUGGCUUCUUGCGCAGGUUGAACAGAUGGUCUGCAUGCUUUCUGACCGUCUUGUAGGAGGUGUACUCCUUUGUGAAGAUGAAGGCCAACUCCUUGAAGUUUCCUAUCGACGCGGACGGUAGAGUGUGGAACCAGUCUUGAGCUGCUCCUCGCAGGGUCAUCGCGAACACUUUGCACAUCAGGGCAUCAUCUGCCUUGUACAGGAUCAUGGCGCUCUUGAAGUGCCUCAAAUGGCUCUUAGUGUCAGAGUCCCCCUUGAAUGGAGUGAUGGAUGGCGUUGUGAACCGCUUCGGUGGAAGAGCUCGUUCCACUUUGUCGGUAAAGGGCGAGCAGUCAACUCGAUCAAUUUCCUUAUGCAGGGCCUCCUCCGCGCUUCCUUUAAGUUGGAGAGCUUGGAGUCGGUCAUUUACUAGCUUCUCGACGUCCUCUGCUUGCAGGACUGGAGUCUCGGGCCGGCGUCUUCGGUGCCUCGAGCGCGACCGGCUAACUUCUUCCUCGGUUCCCAAGGGUCGAUCCCCUUGGGUGUUCUGCCCGUGGGGCAGAUUAGAAGAUUGAGCUUGUGAGGAUUCCUCUACAUCUUGUCGCCGCAUGUUGGUCCUCGAGCAGGUUGGUGAGCGUCGAUCAUCAUCUUCUACCAGCAAGGAGGGUCGCUCAGGUCGACGUCUUUGGUGUCUCGAGCGUGACUGGCUAACUCCUUCCUCGGUUCCCAAGGGUCGAUCCCCUUGGGUGCCCUGCCCGUGGGGCAGAUUAGGAGAUUGAGCUUGGAAGGAUCCCUCUACAGCUUGCCGUCGCGUGUUGGCCCUCGAGCGGGUUGGUGGGCGUCGGUCGUUGCGCUCGUCACGCGACUGCUCACGAACUCGAGCUCCUUGUGGGCCCAAGCAGGCGUGGACAUUAGUCUGUGGGCCUAGCCUCUCGAGCACAUUGGUCCUUGGUUCUAGCCCCGAACGGCUCAGAGUACGGCUCGCGGCUGUCUGCGUCCCAUCUACUCGAUCUCGAUCUCUCCUCUGCCGGUUUGCCCUUGUCUGACCAGCUUGGGACCUCUCGAACUGCUCGCCGACAUGCUGGUGUGCCCUCAUCUCCUCGUCACGGGGUCCAAGGCUAGGGCCUUGAUUCAUUGAUCUGCCUGAGUAGCUGGCCAAUCAGGUUGUUCUGAUCAUCGACUUUCUGUGUGAGUUGAUCGACCCGUGAGUUAAGGUCCACCUGACUGCGCGGGUCAAGUAGAGUGCUGUGCAUCGGGCCCAACGGCAAAUGGGCUAGGGCUCCAUUAGACGCGUACACAGGUGCAUAUGUCGAGUGUGAUCGCAGAGGAGGGAGAGAAUGGAUCUGCUCCAGGACUGGGAUGACGUCGAAGUAGCCAUGGGGCUGAGCAGCAAAUCCGGUAGUUGAGUGGUGUGGCUGCUGCUGUGCUACGACGGCAGGACAUCGGCGCUGGCAACUGCAAGGCUGUGGAGGUCCCGAGGUCAUGGUCAGGCUGUUCUGCAAUUCCAGCAGCUGAAUGCGGCUGCAAAGCACUGGAGGACGACUGCAAGGCGUUGGCAGCCACGAUUCGGUGCGGUUGCAUUGAGGUUUCCACCACGAAACCAUGAGAUGGGCCCAUCGUGGUGGCGUUACUCUUCGUACGUCUUGUAUCAACCAUGGUUGUUUGAAAAAAAUGUGUGAAAGAUGGAUUUUGAGCACGCUUUGAAUAUAUCUCGUGCUCUCAAUGAAAGCACCAAUUUGUUUGUGCAAAUAAUCUCACGGGAGAAUAUUCGCCCAAGAUUCCUUCGUCUUCUCCGCCUCUCUUUCUCCCUGCAAAACAGAUCGGAGUAAAAGGACCACACCCGGGGGGUGUUGGCCAAAGGCCCUCCGAUGCCUAAGUUAGGUAAGGGAAUUCAAGGAGAGGUAGGUGGGGUUGGUGUAGUUGGUGUGGUUGGUGGGGUUGGUGCAUUUAGGGAUUAUGGAUGAACCGAAUCCCUAAUUAAAUUGGGGAUCAAGUAACCCCCAAUUUGAUUAGGUAAUUCCCAAUUAGGUUAGGUAACUCCUAAUUAGGUCAAAUAAUUCCCAAAUUGAUUGGCCUAAUUAAGUGACCUAGGGUUUUGAUUUAAUUAGGUUCCCACAGUUAAUACCAGUGAAUUGCUGGAAAAUCUGUAGGCAUGUAAAACAUAACAUGGGAGACUAUCUGAUACAUGUGAGACUAUCUGAUACGCGUUAAACGUAACUAGGAUUUUGAAUUGCCUCAGUUAGCACAAGUACUAGUAUAGUAGCGGCACCUGCAUCCAAAUUGCAAUGACCAAUUGAGGCCUGUUCCUACGCUUAAGGAGGUUUCUGAAAGGAUGCUUCAUUUCUUUUGCCACACCACUUGCCUCGACAAUCUCUAAGAAUUCUGGAUCCACAUUGUCAACACCCCUAAUCCUUUUAAGAACUGCUUUUCCUUCCUCCAACUUACCUGGUUCGAUCAAACUGUUAGGAGUGUCAACCACAAUGAGAGACCCAACAGUUAGCAAACCUGCUGGAAUGGCAGCCAAACCUAGUGACACCCUCCAUCCAUAUCCCUCUGUAAUUCUGUGCAUACACGAUGAAAGUACAUUAAUUAAUCACUGGUAUAUAAUUACGGGUGAUUAAUGGAAACGAUUGCUUAUUCUGUGAAGCCAUAUAUCUAACUCGUUCAAUUGUUACCUAAGAAGUAGGGAGAACUACCACUAAAAUGAUAGAUGCCGGUUCAUAUAUCUUCUUUUUCAAAUUGGGGAGGAUGGCUUACUUGUUAGUUCUAUAAUUUAUAAGAUUUGCAAAAAGAAUGCCAAUAGCGAUAUUUAGCCGGAAGAGUGUGUAAAAUGAGGGGUUUAUAUAGUAGAGUACCUCCCGGCAAUAGAGAGUGAACUGCAUAGAAAAUGGAUGAUUUAUUCUGUGCCAUGGUCAGGAUCCUUCCCCAAGGCAUGAUCGAUGGUUGGUUUUCUUUCUUGAUUUGCUUGGUUAGGCUUUAACGAGAAGUUUGUUGCACUGAAGUUGAUCUAGUCUUUUUAGAGUAAGCUUGCCCUUGUCAUCCUUAAGAAACGGAGAAGGAGCGACGGCAUCACUGUUGACGAAGGACAUCAGAUUGCGACUCUUGAGGAGAGGGAGAAUCUGGGCCAACCAAAGGGGAUAGUUAUUGCGAUCAAGCUUGAUAUGAACAGCUUGAGUGAUAGAGGGAAAAGCAGCAGCGCAAUCAGAAGAAGACCCCAUGGGGAAAAGAAAAAAAAAGAUAGAUAGAAGAGAAUUUUCAGACUGUAAGUCAAUAGGCUCUUGAUACCAUGAAAGAAGUGGAACGUACGGGGGUAAAGCCUUAAUAAUCAUGAGGGCAUAUUGUAUUGAUUUAUACAGUAUUACAGAUAGAGUCCUAUAUCAAAUAUGAUAAGGAUACAAUGUCAUCAGAUAACCAAGAGGAAUCCCACAUGGAAUAAACGUAAAUACAAGAUAGAGUCCUAAGGACAAUAGUCAUCUAAUAAAGAGGACCACAUUUAACGGUAUCAUGUGGCCCCUAACAUUAUUCAUUUCAGAAACUCACGAAUUGUGCUACGUUUGCUAAUGACCAGAUCACCCUUACCAAACAGAGCAUCCUUACCAAACAUCUCCACGCUAGUAUAACCAACUUUACAAAUCUGAUUGUAAAUAUAAACUGCAAAUUCGUGACUAAAUUUGAGUAUAAAUUAUAAAACCUUAAGGAUACCAACUAUUCAUUUCGUUAGAAGAUAUCCCAAACUCGAAUUCCCUUUCUCCUAAGUUAAAAAGAAAGAAGAAAAAAGAACUAAAGGUCAACCUUAAAUUCGUGAUAGGAUUAUUGUUUGGAUACAAGAAAGAUCAGGUUGUGUUGUCCAAUCAAUUAGGAUAUGUGUACUGUGUCACAAGAGAAGGAAACUAAACAUAACUGCAAACAAGACAAUGCUAGAAAGGAACUGUAACAAUAUAGAAAUAAAGCAUGAACAAUUGUAAUGUAUCUACAAUUGAGGAAAUUAAGCACCAAAAUUAAAUAGAGCCACAGGCACACAGAGAUCGCGUGCUUCGAGGCUAGCUAACACUUAUGAAAGAAAACUUCCUACAAAAAGAAAAUUUGGUCGAGGGAGUCGCCAUCAGAGGCUAUGUAAGGCCAGUGCUUCAAGCAUACCCCUUUUCCUUCGGUUCAUCUUCGGAGUCAUCCAUAUAUCUCUUCCAAAACCAGUGCUGCCUCCAGACUACGUCGCUCAUUUCUUCAAUAGGGACACCCUUGGUCUCAGGAAGUAAGAAGUAGACAAAGACAGUCAUGAUCAAGCACCAAGCUGCGAAGAACAAGAAUAUGCCAAACCUGAAGUGACAAAGCAUUGAAAGAAAGGCUUGUGCUAUAACAAAUGUGAAAAGCAUGUUGAUACACACAGUCACACUCUGCCCAGCCGAACGGGCCUCUAGUGGGAAUAUCUCACUAGCAACCAACCAACAAAGAGGUCCCCAAGACCAGCCAAAUGAGCCCACAAAAGAGCAAAUAAUCACAACCACAAGAAUUCCCAUGCCCUUGUCGAGGUCGUUCGAUUGAUCCUUCAGUUUCCAUCCCAGUAUGACUGCAAUGACCACAUGAGAAAUGAACAUUUGGAUGCCACCUUCUAGCAAGAGCAUGCGACGACCAGCUCUGUCCACGAGGAAGAUUGACACAAUGGCUCCUAGGACCAUGAUACCUCCUGUUAUAACGGAUGAGUAAAGGGAAGCAUCGUGCUUGAAUCCCAAGGUCUGGAACAAAACUGGAGCGUAAAAAUUGACUGAGUUAAUUCCUGUGAAUUGCUGGAAGAACUGCAGCAAACAACAUGACCACAUACAAAUUAAGAGAGUCAAAAUUUGGGAAAGUUUUCUUGCCAGACAUAAUAUCAAACUGUGAUGAUCAGUUGAGACUAUACGGAAAAAAAACUGAAAUAAUUAAUGACCUGUAAAAAAACUGUGAUGAUCAGUUGAGGUCUAUUCCUACGCUUAAAGAGAUUUCUGAAGGGAUGCUGCACUUCUUUAGCCGCACGGCUUGCCUCAAGAAUCUCUAGGAAUUCUGGAUCGACAUUGUCAAUACCCCGAAUCCUUUUAAGAACUUUUUUUCCUUCCUCCAACUUACCUCGUUGGAUCAAACUGUUUGGAGUGUCUGUUACAAUGAGAGCCCCGAAGGUUAGCAAGAGUGAUGGAAUGCCAGCCAAACCCAGUGAAAUCCUCCAUCCAUAUCCCCCUUCAAUUCUGCAUGUGGUGGCCCAAAACAUUAUAGAUGGGAGUGAAUAUUUAUGGUACAAAAACAAAUCGAAAUACAGAAGCUCAAUAAAAUAUUAUUGUGUAAAAGAAUUAUGCUAGUAAGCUGACUUUUUAAUUAAUAAUUAUUAUAUAAUUAGUGAGACUCCCUUUAGCCUUCCACAUGCAUAAUGUUAUCAAUUCAUGUCGCAAUAUAUGUAUAUUUACUAGCAAUACCUAAAGUAUAAACUUGUAGUUCAUCUAUGUUAUAACACGUAGAUUAGUAACACCGGGUACUUUCACAAACAAAAAUUGAUCGUUAAUUAGGAAGAACUGUGCUGGCUUACUUUGCAGUUCCAUAAUUGAUAAGGUUUGCUACAAGAAUACCAAUGGUGCACAUGAGCUGGAAGAGUAAGUUAAGUGCCCCACGAAUUCUUGUGGGUGCAACCUCCGAAAGGAAAAGUGGCACCGCCUGUCAUAGAUAACCAAAUUAUUUACCGAAUAAUUAAUUAACUAAUAUUAACCAACAUCAUUAAGAGUAGGUUCAAUAAGAUUUGAUGUAAGUAUAGUAACAUAUAUAUAUGUACCUGGUUAGCAAAACCAACUCCACAACCAAGAGCGAGCCUCCCAACAAUAAGCAUGAUAAGGUUCUGGGCUGCAGCAUUAAGAAUCGUUCCAACUAUAAAGAAAAUCCCAGCAAUGAGCAUGCUCAUCUUUCGACCGAAGACCCUGGUUGUGUAUGAUGCAAAGAAGGUUGCUAUCAAGGCAGCGAUGUACAAAGAAGAUGUGAACAAUUGCAGGCCUUGAUUGUCGUAUUUACAGUAAUUGCUCUCAAGCCCUGGAAUCUGUUGCCUCUUGUAUACAACCGGGAAGAAUUCCCGUAGGAACUCCGGCAUCGAUGUAACACCCCCUGCAUUGGUAUAUAUCGAAUUAAAUAAAAAUGUAGUGCGUGUGUAUGAGAUCAGUAGCUAGACAGUCACGUAUAUAUGUACCCGAAAUGCCGAUAUCAUAACCGAACAUGAGGCCACCGCUAGCGGCCAAUAUGCAAGAAAUGACCACAAUAGGUGUGAUCUUUGCUUCAAAUUCUUCGCCAUCCGUCGGCCCGCCAAAUCCCCCCGCCAUGAUUCUGAUUUCUUAUAGUUUCAAACUUACUUAGCUACACUUAAUCAGUUUUUAGAACCGAAUUAUAUAUAUAUAUAAUAAGACGUGACGCAGGUCAACAAAGAAGGAGAGAGUAGCUCGGUGAAAUGAGGUGUGUGCAUGAGGGGCUUAUAUAUUCAAGGCAACAGAGAGUGAAAGACGUACGUAGGAGAUGGACCAUUUAGUACGUGCCAUGGUCAACAUCUUUUCCCCAGGCAUGACCUGCGGCUGUUGUUCGUUCUUGUUGCUUGGUUAGUCAUGAAGGUACGAGAAGUUAGUUGCACCACAGUUGAUAAAGUCUUUCAGAGUAAUGUUAGAAGAACCACGUUUUCUAACCAGAUUCUUUAGCUGACCAUGCGGCUGAAAUUAGCAGCUUGUACAUAAUAAAUUAAAAUGACAAAUGUACAUCAAGACAUUAUGCAACUGUACGUAGUCAGAAAAAUGCACAUGCUUCCUGGUUUAACUUUUUUUUUUUUUUUUUUGGCUCUCAAUGAUACAUUUUACUUCAUAAAAAAAAAAGAAAAGAAGUUGAUACAUAUUCAAAUUCUUAUUGAGGGGUUGGGUUUAAUCUUCGAAUUUGAUGGCUUUGAUCCAAGUCUUUUGAUUUUUGUGCCACAUAAAAUUACAUUCCUUUUUUAAUAUUUUAUGAUGUAAUCUUUUUAGUAUUUUCUUUUUAAUCUUUUUUUUUCCAAUGUUGCCCCUUAUGACUUGAAUCAAGUUAUAGUCAUUUAUGUCAUUAUUGCCUAUUGACUAUUGCAUAGUAUAUAUAUAUAUAUAUAUGUGUGUGUGUGUGUGUGUGUUUUUUCAUAUUUUCGACAAUGUGUAAUAAUAUUUUAUGUACCUUUUUUCAUAGGUAACAUACAAUUUUAUUUUGUCUAUUUUUGUAUCUGACUUAUAGGUAGUCUUCUAAGUAUUUUUUGUUGGUAAUAAUAACACUAUUUACCUGUAUGUCAGGUACAUAAUUUAAUGUGGGUGCUUGUCUGAUCGAUUGGUAUAAUAUGUGGUUCUUUACUUUUUAUUGUUUAAAUUGUAUUUUAUCCAUAUAUUAGGAAUAUUAUCAAGGAAAGAAUUCAAAAUUUAAAUUCUGGAAUUUAAUUACACAGAAAUAAUGAAAUUAAAUUUAGAUUUUCAUUGUGUUUUCUUUAUUUACCUCAAAGGGUAAAAUCCACACAAUAAAAAAAGUAAUAAAUGUCAAAGAACCUACAUCUAAAACAAAAAACGCGAGGACUAAACCUAAUAAGAACUAAUCGUUUUGGACCUAGAUCUAAGAAGCCAAAAAAAAAAAAAAAAAAAACUCAAUGAUACAUUUUUACAACAAUUAGUUGUGUCAUGUGGCUCUUGCUCAAGGAAAAUGUGCAUGUAGGUUAAAAUUAAGGUGGACUCAUCAGGCACGUAGGAUCCACACUUAUGAGUUACUAUCCUACAACAUCGAACACUCUACAUUAUGUGUUUAUAUAAUCAAGAAAAAAACUUUUAAUGUUUUGGAACAAAAAGAUCUGAAUUACAACAACACAUUGCUAGAAAUAGAAAAAAGGGUUAAUUAUUUUAUUAGUCUCUCAACUUUAACUGGAUUUGUAUUUGAAUACCUCAAUUUCUAGAAUGGUACCCGUGGUCCUUUAAUUUUAGUUUCGUUUGGACAACUAGUCCCACCGUUACUUCUGUCAAUUUUUUCGUUAAAUUUAGAGGUAGAUGGGUCUUUUCAGGUUGGUUUUAUUAUCCCCCUUCCACAUACUCUUCUCGCUGUCUCUAUUUUGCUGCAUUUGGUUUGAAAAGCUGAGGCUUGAACCGGUUUUGUGAAGUUGUUGCAGUGUUGGAUCUGGUUCUUUUUAACCGGGCCUCAAAUGGGUUUGUGAGUUUCUCAAAUUUGGUCUCUGAGUUUGAAGGUUUCCUGCUAAAUUUUCAGUUUUUAGUGUUGACUAAGUUUUUAUGUGCUUAGACCUGAAAUGGGUUUUUGAGCAUUUCAAUGUUGAGAUCUGAUUUCUGCAGAUUUACUAGUCAUAGUGAGGUUCAAGAUUCUGUGAGUUGGAUUUGGUAACCUACUUUUGUAGGUCAAAACAGUUCAGUUGAGACUGAGAGGUUAAAGUAAAAAUGGCUCCAAGCUUGGAUUUUUCCAGGUGGUGGGCAAAGGGCAAUACAAGUUAGGGUAAUCCAGUGGUGGUGACCAUGAGGAACCCCAAUUACUCUGUGCUGGAGAUAAAUGGUCCUGAUGAAGUAUUUGGGCCAGUUCAUAAGGACAGAGGCAAGAAUGCUAAGCAAUUUACAUGGGUUUUGCUUCUAAAGGCGCAUAAAGCUGUUGGUUGUGUUGCUUGGCUGUGAAACAUUCUUUGGUCAUUGCUUGGUUCCAUUAAGAAAAGAUUGAUAUUUGGGCAAGGAGUGACUCUGGAGAAUGAGAAAUCUGGAAAAGGAAGAACCUUGCCUCCCACGUGCUCUCGUCCAUCCUUCUGUGCCUCCAUUUGAAAGGGGCUAACGUUGUACUUGUCCAACGAGUUGUACAACGCUAGGUUGGCUAUGUACGAAGCCAACUCCUCACAAUCUUGACCGCUUACUUCAUACACCGUAAUAGGGGUGGGCGCGGUCCGGUUCGGUCCGGUUCUCACCGCAAACCGGAACUGAAAUCGGUAUUAUUUAAUCGGUCCGGUUCGGGUAAAAAAAAUUUUAAAAACCGGCCGGUUCGGUUCUAACCGGUUUCGGUCCGGUUAUGACCGGUUCCGGUUUUGAACCGGAUUAUUAAUUUUUUAAUUAUUAAUUUUUUUUUUAAAAAAAAUUUUUAAAAUUUUUUUUUAUUAAAAAUUUGUAAUAAAUAACUUAUUUUUUUAGCUUUAAAAUGAACAAAUAAUCCAAUUCAUACAUUUAGAAAUUUUUUGAAGUUGAACUUGGAAAAUUAGUGAUUAUAAAAGUUAAAAUAUGGCAUUAGAUUUUAAAAUUUUGUAAAAAUAUAAAUAUAAAAUAUAUGACCGGUCCGGUUCGGUCCAGUCCGGUGCGGAGAGAUGUAAAACCGGAACCGGAACCGGUUCGGUCCGGUUCCGGUCCGAUUUGUUGACUUUUUUGGUCAACCGGUUUUUUUUCCGGUUUUUUUUCACCGGUUCGGUUCGGUGUUCCGGUUUUCCGGUCUCGAUGCCCACCCCUACACCGUAAUAACCUCUUCAAUCUCGCUCGCGAAAAUGUUGUUCGCGUAAGCUUCGUUAAAACCAACUUGAAAAGAUCCAUUUAGAGUAAAAGUCUUUUUUGUCCCUCAAAACCAACCUGAAAAGACCAAUCUACUCCUAAAUUUAACAAAAAAAUUGACAGAAGUAAUAGUGGGACUAGUUGUCCAAACGAAACUAAAGUUAAAGAAUCAUGGGUACCAUUUUUUGGAAAUUGAGGUACUCAAAUGCAAAUCCGGUCAAAGUUAGAGGACUAAUAAAACGAUUAACCCUAGAAAAGAAAAAAACUAAAAUUUGAACAGUAAGAAAAAUAACAUACAGACAGAUAUUGUGAAAAUUGGUGUUUAUGAUAUAUGUCUUUGCAAUACAUAUGGUAGAAAAGGAAUCCUGAGCCUCUACAUUUAGCAUCGGUGCAUUUAUCAUCGGUGCAUUUACACGCAUUUAUAAGACUGUCAACUAUUAAAUUAAUCUAAUAAAUUUUAAUCAAUCCACAUCAGCAUAAUUGUAUUAGACUAUAAAUCACUAGUUGCACCUUGUAAUUUACAAUUUUAUCAUUUCUUUCAUAAUUAAAUCAUUUCCUCCGCCAACAUCAUUUAACUGUCCGAUUAAUUACCAUCAUGAACACAGUGCACUUUCUACACUGACAGCCUCCCAACAGCUCCCCCUUAUCUUUCCUUUUCUUUCUCUCUCUCUCUCUCUCUCUCUCUCUCUCUCUCUCUCUCUCUCUAUAGAUAUGCUCUCUCUUUCCACCUCCCCCUUCUCUCUUCUCUCUCUACCGCUUCUCUCUUUCCUAAGAACAUAAAAAGAUAACAUAAACUGUAAGCCCACAAAAUUAACGAGAUCAUGAAAUCAUAGCAUGUUGAAAUUUAAUUUCUAAAACGCUGAAAUAAAGAGAUAAUAUUAGCAUAAAUAAAUGCAAAUCUGACAUUUAAAUGCAGUCUACGAGCAGCGGCGGACCUAGGAAUUUUUCAGUGGAAGUGCAAUUUUUACUAAUACAGAGAGAGCUAAAUAACCCCCAAAAAAAAAAUUAUUAAAAAAAGAAUAAACAAAAUUGGAGUUUGCUCAAGAAAAAAAAAUAUGCAUUCUACUUACUUUGGAUUGGCAUUCUCAAGAAGGAAAAAAAAAACGUAGGAUUCUUGUGAUGCACAUACACUUUGAUGAAAUUGGGUGAUGCUAAAUUGGUCUUUUACAUAUAGAAUUCCCAAUCAUACAUAAUUAAGAAAUUCCCAAAACCCAAUUGAAUAUAGAGAACUCACACAAUUAAAACCCAAUUAACUAAGGAAAUAAAACCAUUUGGAAAGCCCACAAAAAAGCCCACAUUUAAAGCAUCAGUUUCCCUGUUUUUACUUUUUUUUAAAAAAAAAAAAAAUUUAAAAACCCUGGUCCAAAACAAAGUCGUUUUGGCAAGGUUUCGUUAAAAAAAAAUAUGUGCGCACUGCGCGCACAGCAGCAUCCCCCAGUCUCACUUGCGCAUUUCAUCGAACACCUUAUGUGCGUCGCUGGUCUGAAGCAGAGGUGCAAUUCCAGCUCUUCUAAUGAUGAUUUUCGGCUACCAGAGGUGCAGGUGCACCUCCUUGCGCCUGCACAGGUCCGCCACUGUCUACAAGGGAAAUUAUUUAUGGAAGAGAAAGGGAAGGUAAUUAAUAAAAUGAUAAUUAUUUAUGGGAGAGAAAGGGAAAAGCCACAGGAGAAAUGGGUAAGUGAUUAGGUGCAACGGGUGAAUUUUAGUCUAAUACAAUUAUACUGAUGUGGGCUCAUUAAAAUUGAUUAGAUUAAUCUAGUGGUUGACAUUCUUGUAAAUACGUGUAAAUGCACUGAUGCUAAAUGUAGAUGCUCGGAAUCCGUAGAAAAGAGUGCUAUGUAAGGUAAAAAAAUAAAUUCCUAAAUUACAGAUAUACAGACCCUAAAGUAAGGUGUUAACUAUCUAAACAAGGUAACAAAAUGAACUUUAUUGCUAUAACUCUUUCCAUAUCUUCAACAUUCCCCCUCAAGCUAGAGUAUGGAGAUCAAGAAUACCCGGCUUGUUUUUCAAUGUUGGAAUUGAUCUUUACCUAAAGACUUGGUAAAGACAUCUACGAGUUGCUCCUUUGAAGGAAUAUAGGCGGUACGUAAAGAACCAUUUUGAAUCUCCUCUCGAAUAACAUGACAAUUGAGCUCAAUAUGCUUGGUACGCUCGUGAUAUACUGAAUUAGCUGCUAUGUAUAAAGUAGCUUGGUUGUCACAAUAAAUUAAUAGCUUGGUGUGGUGUGUGACAUACCAAGAUCAUGAAGCAAAUAUUGUAACCAUUGGAGUUCACAAGUUGCCAUAGCCAUCGCUUUAUAUCUUGCUUCGGCUGAUGAGCGUGAUAUAAUAUCUUGCUUCUUUGUUUUCCAUGAGAUAGGACUUUCUCCAAGAAGUACAAAAUAACUUGUAGUUGACCUCAGUGUCAUUAGACAGCUAGAAUCACAGUAAGCUCUCAAUUGAAAAUUAUUAGAAGUUGAUAACAAAAUCCCUUGGCCCGGAGUCCCUUCCAAAUAAUGUAUUAAUUGAUAUGCAGCCUCUUUAUGAGUUGUACGGGGACUUUGCAUGAACUGGCUCAAAAUAUGAACUAUAUGAACAACGUUUGGCCUAGUGAUGGUGAGAUAUAUCAAGCGACCCACCAAUCUUCUAUAGGUUUCUGGAUUAUGUAAUAGUUCUCAUCUUCAUUGUUUAACUUCAGAUUUUGUGACAUGGGGAAGAAAGUAGGACAUGCACGGUGCACCCAUAAGACCAGAGUCUUUCAAAAUGUCAAGUGCAUACUUUUGUUGGCUCAGAUACAAUCCCUUCAAAAACGGGACACUUCUAUCCCAAGGAAGUAUUUUAAAUCACCAAGGUCUUUUAAAUGAAAACAUUGGUGCAUCAAAUUUUGAUAAUUGAGAUAAUAGCAGCGUCGGUACUUAUAAUAAUAAUAUCAUCAACGUAAAGCUUUGGAAAAUUUUGCAAACCAACACCGAAAAGCUUGAUUUAAUCCAUAAAGUGAUUUGUUAAUACGGCACACCAUAUUUCCCCUCUUGCCGUGAUAACCUUGAGAGAGCUGCAUGUAGACUUCUUCCUGUAAAUCACCAUGAAAAAUGCGUUGUGACAUCUAAUUGUUGAAGACACCAACCCUUGGUAGCGGCCAAGGGUAAUAAAACAUGAACAAAAUGGUAAGCUUGGGAAUAGGUAGAAAAAGUUUCAUGAUAAUCAAUCCUUUCUAUUUGUGUAUAUCCCUUGGAAACGAGGCAAGCUUUGCAUUUUGUUCAAUAGGGCCAUUAGAAUACCACUUGAUUUUAUAGAUCGACUUGCAGCCAAUGGCUUUUUUAUGAGUAGGCAAGGCCAUAAGAGUCCAUGGCAGCAAGUUCACUUUGCAUACACCAAUAUUUAGUGGCUUCAUCAAAAGUGUUAGGCUCAACAAUGGUAGUACUAGAAGCAAGAAAACUUUGAUGUUUAAUAGAGAAUUUGUCAUAAGAUAAAUAAUGGGAUAAAGGGUACCUGGUGCCGUGUUGAACCAUAGUGGAAAAGGGAAGAUCAACUUGAGAUUGGUAGCAGUGGCAGUCACUAAGAUACCAUGGUGGGUUUCGAUGGCGAGGAGGAAGAGGAGUACAGUGAGAUGGUGUUGGUAAAGAUGGAGGAGAGGAUGAUGGAAUAGGAGGGAUAAAAGAAGUAGGUGUUAUUGGAGAGGAAGGGGUGGUAACUUGAGAUGGAGAAGGUGUGGUCUCAAUAAUGGGGUUAAGAGAUUGUGUAGGUGUGGAAGCUGUAGUAAGGUCAGAAGGCUCAAAUUCUGGGAUAGGAAGAGGUAAGACGUUGGGCAUGGUAUUUGUGUGGGAUAAAUUGUAAGGAAAUACAGUUUCAUAGAAAGUGACAUCACGUGAGGUAUAAACCUUCUUAGUGUGAAGAUCAUAAAUUUUGUAAGCCUUUUGAGAAGGUGGAUAACUAAUAAAAAUGCAUGGUUUGGCUCGUUUAUCAAACUUUGAGUGAGGAGAAAGAUUAUGCCCAUAACAAAGGCAACCAAAUAUAUGUAAAUGUGCACAAGAGGGUGACUUUCCAAAAAGAACAUCAUAAAGUUUUUUUGCUUUUAAAAUUUUUGUGGGCAAACGAUUAAUUAAAUAUGUAGCAGUUAGAAAUCCCCAAAAAGAUAAAGGUAAGUUCGAUUGGAAAGGAAGAGAACGAGCAAUGUUUAAAAGAUGACGAUGUUUGUGCUCAACAACGCCAUUUGGUUGCCGUGUUGCCACACAACUAUGUUGAUGAAUGAGACCAAUUGAAGAAAAAAAAUUGUUUAAUGGUGUGAUUAAAAAAAUUCAGUUUCAUUAUUGGUACGAACUUGGCGAAUAGUAAGAUUAAAAUGUGUUUUAAUCAUAGCAAAAAAAAAAACAAAAAACUAGGUAGAUGGGUAGUUACUUCAAAGUUAUGUUGCAUUAAAUAAAGUCAAGUACUGCGAGAAUAAUCAUCUACUAUGGUUAAAAAAUAUUUAGCACCAGAAAGAGAAGCAACAGAAUAAGGACCUCACACAUCACAUGAAUCAAAUUAAAACAAGUAUUCGUUGAAAUAGUACUUCAAAAAAGUCUACAAUAUUUAGCCAAAGGGCAAAUGGUGCAAACAUGAUUAUUAGCAAUAGAAAUUUUAGAAUGAAACUUUUGUAGGUGGGAAGAAUAAAUUUAGAUGGAUGACCUAAGUGCGAGUGCCAUAGAUUGAAACUCGGGGAAACAACAGUGGAAUUAGCAAUGGAAAGUACGCCAGGAGCCAAAUAAUAAAUAUCAAUAUGUUCCAAUCCCUUACCAAUCUCCCUCUUCAAACUCAGGUCCUGCAAAACACAAUGAUCAGAAGAAAGGUAAUGAAACAACUAAGCAGCUUGGUGAGUUUGCUAACAAAUAGAAGAUUGAAACGAAAAUCAUGUACCAAUAAGACAUUAUUUAGAAGUAAAGAUGGUAAGGGUUUGGAAGAGCCAAUGUGAGUAAUAUUAGAUGUUUGUCGCGUAGAUAAUUUAAUAGGAACAGUAUUAAGAGUGGUCAUGUUGUCUAACAUAUUAGAACUAGAGACCAUGUGGUCAGUGGUGACGGAAUCAAUGAUCCAAGAACUGAGAUUGAAUGAAGAAUGAAAACAUAAUGAGUUACCUGCGACAUUAGCUAUUGAAUUAUUUUUACUGGAUGACAACAUGUCAAUCAGUUGAUUGUAUUGUUCAUGAGUUAGAGUUGGUGCAGCUGGAGUGCUGGUGGUUGUCGUGACAAAAGAACCAGUAGAGGCAUUAUAGGAGGAAGAAGAAUUGGUCUUGGCAGUACCAUUCUUCUUUUUGCAAUGAGAAUCUGUAUGCCCUGCUGUAUCACAAAAUGUGCGAAACAUAUAAUUUUUGCUUGCAGGGUUUUUUCGACAUCGGGAUUUGAAGUGACCUUCAGUAUCACAACAUUUGCAGUGAUAAAAUGGCUUCUGAGACUGCGGUCAAUUAGCUGUCUUGGCAGAUUGAUCAAGAGAUAUUGUGAUUACAGGUUAAAGAGAAUGUUGGUGUUCAUCUUGUAAGAGUAAGGAGUAGGCGCGAUUGACAGUCGGCAAAGGAUCCUGAAGAUGCAUAUUACUACGAAUCCCAAAAUAGGAAACGUUCACCAAAAAUUGCAUAAGAUGCUCUUUUUAAAUGUGAUUCACGCUAGUUUGAGAAGCUCCAUAAGUGCAUGGGGUUAACGAAACAUAUCAAGAUAACUCAUCCCAAUAACCUUUCAAAAUAGUAUAAUAAAAGGUUAUGGAUGAGUUUCCAUGUGUAUGAUUGGCAAUGGCGUGACAAAUCUCAAAAAUCCUAGGAGCAUUCUUUUGAGAAAAACGUUUACGAAGAUCCUCCCAAACUUCGCGUGCUGUAACAGUGUAGAUAACACUAUUUGAUAUAUCGGGAGAGAGAGUGUUAACAAUCCAAGACAUAACCAUACUAUUAUACGUGUUCCAUUAAUGAAAUUUGGUUGAACAAUCCUUAGGUUUGGCGUGUCGUCAAUGAACCCAAGUUUGUUUUUGGCAUCAAGAGCCAUGCUUAUGGUGCGAGACCAUGUAGGAUAAUUGUCACCAAUGAUCUUGUUGUUGAUGGAUGAAUAAUCAAACACUCAAACACCCACAAAAAAUAACCAAGCUCAGAAUGACACAAGAAUUAUAAAGGUUCAGCAAUUGCCUACAUCCUCUUUGGUGAUCCCCUUGAGAAAUUCACUAAUGAAAGAAUAGGUUACAAACUUUGGUUUUCAAAGACAAACCCCUUGAACUCUAUUCUCUGCCCAAGCUCUCUUUUCUCUCUCACUCAUUGCUUAACACUUUGAUGCACUUGUGAACACUCUCUCACACUUGGUGUUUCCCUUCCUUGGUUUCUAAACUUAUAAAACUCCAACCCUUGAGCUCUUACCUCUUGGCUUUCUUGGCUUGCUCUUGAGCCUUUUUAAAUUAUUAAUUUAAUCAGAUAAAAGACCAUUUUGCCCUUAGAAUAUUUUAUUAGGUUUAAAGUUGACUUUUUGACCACAAAGUAAUUUGGGAAUUUCGACUGUACCGUUGUGUAGAACACGGCAAGAUGCAUUUAUAGACACGUAGUGAGCUCGAAUCAAAGUUGUAACGAAGAAGUUACGAUCAAAACAAGUGCAAUGGCAUAACUGUAAUUAUUUUGAAGUUGAGUUUAAUAAAUCUGAAUUUUUUAUUCUCUCUCUCUCUCUCUCUCUCUCUCUCUCUCCCCGACGACAGCCCUCUCCCUCUAUCUCUUCGAAACUCCAGCCACGUGCCACGACAAUGGACGGGACCGGUGCCAAAAGGACCGGCCCUUCCCCAACAUCGGCUACCGCUCCAAUGGUCGGAAAAUGCAAUUUUUAGGCUGGUUUUUGUUCGAAACUUUGCCAGCUCCGAUCUUUAUCCUCCGGCUACCGUUUUUGGUGAUCAAGGUAUGGAAAUUUAUCCAUUCUUCAUGAUCUAGCUGAUGUUUGGGUAGGAUUUUAUCAAUUUUGAGCCUAGAUAGUUUAAUUUUCGAAUUGGGUUUCGGCCGAUUUUGGGAUCACGAUUCCGGCCACUUUUUGGGGUAGGCCCAAGAACAAAAGUGACUCCAAAUAGGGUGCCACACCUAGGAUAGGAGUCUUGAGCCAUGAUUUUGAGAUUUUCUGGAGAAGCUUUAUCGUUUUGGACACCCAUGCGCUGCCGGUGUGUGUGGCGGCGCGUGGGCAAGGUGGAAAAGGGAUAUUGUGUCCUGAUAUGAUCUCCUAGUUGUCACGAGCGCGUAGGUGUGCUCGGAUUCCAAUUUGGAUACCAUUUGAGCGUCGAACGAAUUUCGCCUAGUGUGCGAUUUUCGGGUUCGAUAGGUUCCGACCGUUGGAUCGAACCCGUAUUCAAGUAUGUUGGUCUAGAAAAUUUCAGGAUCAUAUAGGAAUCGACGGAUCGUUAAAAGGAGUCUCCGAUACUCUAGAAAUGCCAACCCUAGGGCUAGGGUUAUGGUAAUUGUCUGAUCGUGUGAUCGUGAUUAAUCUGACCGUCCGAUCUAGAUAAACUCUCGGGACAUGUGUUAUGGGCAUAUUGGGACCUUUAGGGACUCCAAGAUUUGUGAUAGGAGGUCGUGGGUCCCGUGGACCCGGUUGACCAAGAUUGGGUAGGUUGACCCCUCGGUUAACUGUGAGUUUUCCGAGCUAGUUUCACCCUUUCAGGAGCACUAGAACGAUCUUAUUAACAAGUCUCGACUGUUUUUCGAGUUAUGUUGACUAUGUUGGGAUUUGGAGAGUGUUUUAUAUUACCGUAUGAAAUGUCUUGGAUUUUAUUUUAAUAAUUGAAUUUGUGGAAUAGGUGAGGAUGGGUGAAUUAAUAUGGUGAGUUGUGAAAGUGAGUCAUGGGCUUGGCUAUGAUUAUUAAGAAGUGAGUGGGCUUUGUUUUCAAAUCAUAAGCAUGGUUUUAUGAUGGAAAAAUUAUGCAGAAUGUUUUAAUGGUGUAUUGGAUAUAUUAUAUACUCAAUUGUUGAAUUUGUUGUUGUGUUAAAGCUUUUGCAAUAUAUUUUGGGUUUUAGCAUAUUUGCGUAUUUUGAGUUCAAUUAUAUAAUAAUUGAGAAUGUGCUAUCUAUGCUGAAUAGGUGUGCGGUACUUAGGUUGUUAAUGUGAAAUGUUGGGAAGAUAUGAGUUUAGAAUGUCAGUUUGAAGUGUUAUUAGCACUACCUUAGGUACCUCACCGGUUACGGAGUAUAUACUUAAGAGCUUAUUGUCUACACUAGGAAUAAAUCUUUGGAACAAUUGAAUUGAGGAAGGGAAUAUUGUUUGUAUAAUAUUGUUAUAAGGGUUACGAACUCCACCAUCAUACGUACCUUCCUUGGUUACUAUACACACACGUGCCGGGUUUUGGGCGUGUGAGCUCUCUGGUUACAUAUCCUAGAAUUGUGGGAUGCCGGAAAAAUUGUGGAAAUCUGGAUAUGUUGGAAGUCGGACGCCCUUGAACAGGGGUUCAUGGACCCUUAACAGGGUAGUCUACGCACGUAAGACUGGUUACAGGCAUAUGGGUCUUGAAGAUUCGGUAGUACGUUCUGGCUGAGAGUUAGUCCCCCAGUUGGACGGCUCGCUUCCUAGCCACAUGGUUGUUGAGGACUCCUCCAUGUGGUCUAGUCAAAUGAUCCCUAGUUGGAUUGUUUUUCCCUGUACAUGAUGUACAUCAUCAUGUGUACCUUCCCUUAGAUACUGAUACUUGGAAACAGUGGAUAUGGAUAUGUGGAAGCUUGAAAAUGGAUACAUGGAUGUGGACAUGUGGAUAUGUAGACCCUUGAUUUGGGUAGUCUGCGCGCGUAGGACUGGUUACAGGCAUAUGGGUCUUGAGGAUUCGGCAAUACGUUCUGGUUGAGAGUUAGUCCCCCGGUUGGAUGGCUCGCUCCCUAGCCACAUGGUUGUUGAGGACUCCUCCAUGUGGUCUAGUCAAACGAUCCCUGGAUUGGAUUGUUUUUCCUUGGUACAUGAUGAUGGUGAGAGGUGGGUGUGGUUAUUUAUAUAUAAAUAUAUGGACACGCAUAUUACAUAGGUAUAUGUGGAUUUGAUUCCGGAUUGAGAUCCGUGAGGUUGUGCUUUGUGAUUACCCUGCAUUGGUAUGAAUGUCUGAGUCCCGGAUUGGGAAGUGUUGUUUGGCAACAUAUGCCUUGGAUAGGGUAUGGUUGCGCGGAAAGAAUUGAUAAAAGAAAGGAAAUCAUAAAGUGUUUAGGGAUUGCUUGGUGAAUUUGAUAUAAUAAGGAGUCUAAAGUCAUUCAUUGGUUUUAUCUAAAAGGAAAAAGAUUGGAUAUUAUUGGAGCGGUGAUUGUUGAAUAUAGAACUACGUGUGGCUUGAUCCCUCAGCAAGGGUACGUAGGUAGCCUAGGGUCUUACCUAGGUGCAGCCGGGGACUAAAUUUUACUUAUGUUGUUUUAUUGAGUUUGGUUAUAACCUUGUCGUUGGUCAUGAAACUUGGUUGAAACCGUGGUGCUAUUAGAUAAUGGUUCUUACUCCCGUUUGGCUAAGGGACGGUUGUGUAAAUGUGUUAUGAUCAAAAUAGGGGUAAAACCUGUUUGGAUUGUUGUACGGUUUGGACUGAGGCCUUAAACUACUUGAGUUUGUGUUAGGAUGUUAUACAUCACAUGAUGGAAAUUGCAUUUUAUGUUGAUUAUAGUGGGAAAUCAUACAAUGGUUUGAAUUCAUUAUUUGCAUUGAUUGGAGUAUUAUUUGAUUUAAGAUUUUUAUUGGUAGUUUUGGUUUCGGAUUAUUUGGAGGCCGGAGGCCGUUUAUGUGAAUUGCAUGUUGUUACUUUGUGCAUGCUGCUGGUUAGGAUAUUAAAUUGUGAAAUUUUAACAGGUUAAAAUUUUUGGGAAAAUCCAAUUUACAAGGGAGACUCUGCUGAAAUUUCAGCAGAAAACCUUGUGCCCUAUUUCUUUUUGGGAAAGGAGGCUAUAGUUUUGGUAAGUGGGCCCGGAUUUGGGGCGAUGUAGGAAAUUCCACAGGAUUUGUUUCGGGUCCCAAGGAAAUUCGGGGCGGGUCCUGUCGUUUAGCCCCUUGAACUCCUUAAGCUUUUUGCUUGUAGUUUAUGCACUUCCCACUUAAGUAGACAAGUCGAAAACCUCAUUUCAACGUCAGCGACCCUACAUUGACUAUGAUUUGAGGAAACCAUAGAGUAGGUGCUAUGAAACAAGCCAACCAACAACCUUAAAUGAUGUUCCAGCUUUUCCAGCGUCUUAUCAAACUUCCUAGAACCCUUAAAAGUCUUUGGAGGCACUUGGAGUUAGGUAGAUAACCAAAACACAUGUGAAAAGAACCUGAAAAGUGCAUGGAAAAAUCAACCCAUUAUGGCAACGAUCGGUCACACGUUCUUGGCGAUCGGUAGUAUUGAGGAAAUCUCACUGGCGUGCAAUCUGCCUGUAAAUGACCGGUUGCUUUAUGCGUUUUUCCAGAAUUUUGACUCUACUUCAAAACGACUGGUCGCGCCUACCUGCCAACCGGUUGCCUCCUGCGACAUUUGCAUCUUAAUGUGAGCUAAUUUUUCCAACAAUCUCUACCUUGGCAAACAAUUAAUCACCCGUGAACCAUUGGUGACCUAUAGAACCCCUUCAACCUCUUAGAAAUCGUUCUAGUAAUUCGCAAGACCUCUUCCAUGGCAAUAAACCUCUUGCCUCAAUGCAUCUUAGGUGAGAAGGUGCUCCACCUAAUGCUGAACUUGGGCCACCUGGAUCUCUUGUGUAGAAGAGAGAUCCUUCAUGCCAAACUCCUUGCUCUUUACCUUCUUGGAACCUUGAAUUCUUGACAUACCUUGAUAUGCAAACUGCAGACCUAAUCAUUGUUCAAUAAAUCCCUAGUUAGCCAACCUUGCUCUUAGAUUUAAGAACAUAUUCCAUUUCAUCAAUGCACCUUCCCAACUUUCCCACUUCAUGCUCCCUAUAACACUCCGAAACGUGGCUGAAACUUCUUCGUCCAUCCAUCCAAAACUGAGGGAUAGUUUGAUGGAUUCCUUGGGCCCGCACCUUGCAAUUGACGAUGGCUCCACCUCAAGUAGAAACCCCUUUGUGAGUUUGUUGUUGUUACCCUCCUUCUUCAACCCUUGUGUCAAGCUCCAUCUCAAAUGGAGUCCUUCCAUGACCACCUUGGCAAGACGCUUUUCUUCAACAACAUUCUCCAUAUCAUCCAUUGUCUUGACUUCACUUUUGUGGACCUUGUCCUUCGACUCUAUAGCUUAUACAUUUUUGAAAUCAAGUACUUUUGAUGAUGAAAUGUUAAUCAAGGAAUCUUGACUAACCUUUCUUGCCCAACUUGUCUUGAGCAAACCUGUAGCUGCAUUAUGUUGAACCAGCUUCUUGACAUUUCAAUAUGUUGCCUGCUCUUCCUUAGUACAAAACACACCCAACUCGGCCUUCCUUUCAUCCGAGUAUACCUUGGUAGACUUCUCUGCUCCACCGGUGGUUGUACUACCCAAAAACUGGUAAGUGUUGUUUGGUUGAAUCUCCCUCCUCAUAACCACAACGGAACCUUGUGUGACUAUGGGCUUCCCUCAUUCGGCUUUGUAAAAGUACCUUUCUCUAUCUAAAGAGCCAAGAGAGAGUAGAUUUAUUCUUAGUGAAGGUACAAACCUUACCUUACUAAGACUCCAAACAUCACCAUCUUGCAACUUGAUCUUCACCAUCCCUAUGCCCAACAUAAUCUUGCAUGCCUUCUUAGCCUCAUCUGUGUCAAACAUCAACUUAUUUGAAAAAAAUAUGAUAACAACACUUGGAAUCUAAAAUCCAAUUUGAAGUAGAACUCUUACCUGAAGAACUUGCCAUGACUUCCUUGUUACUCUCCUUUGUAACCGUCAAAAGUUCAUCAUUUGUGUCUCUAAUAGACACGUGACCUGAGCUUGAACUUUCAUCAUCCAAUGAUCUGGAGAUCCACACUCGAAGCAGCCUUUCAUUGUCCUUAGACUUAGCAUUCCUCCCGUUGCUUCUCUUGCCUCCACACUUGUUUGAACGACUCCUUGUGAAUAGAAUUGCAUCUUGAGAGUUCUCCUCUGAACGUUAGGACAUCUUGUGAUGCGUCAUCACAUCUUGAACCACCUCGUCAAAAUUCAAAGUACUCUUCCCGAACAAAAGCAUCAUUUAGCAAUGCUUAUAUGAUGGAGGCAAGGAUGUCAGAAACAUGAGUGCCUUAUCCUCCGUAUUAUACAAACACUUCUAUUCGUUGCAAUUCAACAACACACCUAUUAAAAUUGGUUAGGUGCUCUAUCAGAUUUCCUUCCUCCUUAAUCCAAAGAUUAAGUUCCUCCUUGAGGAAGAGCUUGUUGGACAACGACUUCCCUGCAAACAUCUCCUUGAGUUUCUCCCAUCUUUGCUUCGUUCUCUCCCCAAGCUCUCUUUUCUUUCUCACACCUUGCUCAACACUUUGAUGCACUUGAGAACACUCUCUCACACUUGGUGUUUCCCCUCCUUGGUUUAUAGACUUACAAGACUCCAAUCCUUGAACUUGCUCCUCUUGGCUUUCUUGGCUUGCUCUCAAGCCUUUAGCCCUUUGAACUCCUUAAGCUUUUUAAGUAGACAAGUCGAAAACUUCCCUUCAACAUCAGCCACCCUACAUUGACCCAUGAUUUGAGAAAACCAUAUAGUAGGUGCUAUGAAACAAGCCAACCAACAACCUUAAAUGAUGUUCUAGCUUUUCCAACAUCUUGCCAACCUUCCUAGAACCCAUAAAAGUCUUUGGAGGCACUUGGAGUUGGGUAGAUAACCAAAACACAUGUGAAAAGAACCUGAAAAAUGUGUGGAAAAAUCAACCCAUUACGGCAACGACCGGUCGCAUGUUCCUGGCCAUCGGUCACAUUGAGGAAAACUCACUGGUGUGCAAUUUGUCUGAAAACGACCAGUCGCAAUUCCCUGGUGACUAAUCUCUUUCUACGUUUUUCUAGAAUUUCGACUCUGCUUCAAAAUGUCUAGUCGAGCCGAUCGCCUCAUGCGACACUUGCAUCUUAAUGUGACCCAAUUUUUCCAAUAAGAACAAGUCACAUAUGCUAUGGACAACGGCGUGUCCUUAUUAACUCAUUUCUUCCUAUUAGAUUUGGAAGAAGUAGUGGAGACCAUUCAGACAUGGUUGAAAAAUGUAGGAAGAAUGGAAAAGUUUAAUGGAUCAAUAUAGGCUCUGAUACCAUGUGAAAAUGGUAUUUCUGAUAUAAGUCUUUAUAAUACAGAUGGUAUCUUUUAUAAGGGAAAAUAGUGCUAUGUAAGGUAAGAAAAUAAUUCCUAAAUUACAGAUAUAUAGACCCUAAAGUGAGGUGUUGACUAUCUAAACAAGGUAACAAAAUAAACUUUAUUGCUAUGAAUCUUUCCAUAUCUUCAAUAGAUAUUGUCCUCACCUUAAUCAUAUAAGGUGAAGUUAGACCCAAUAGAUCAUGUACUGAUAUUAUCCCCAUCUUAACUACCUUGAGUGGCAGGGGCGAAGGCACAUUGGGACCAGUGUGAUCCCAAGCCCCCACUAAAUUUUUUAUUAUUUAUUUUUAUUUAAAAAAAGUACUAUGGUGUUAUGAAAUUUAAAAUAUUAUAUGACAAUCUUUCGAUUAUAAUUGUAACGUUUCAAUAACUGAUGCCAAGUUGCGUAAAUGUUUAUUUUUAUGGUUGGAUCUGAUGCCAAGUUGCAUAAAUGUGUUGACCACUUAGUGGGAAAGUUGCCUUUGUUGUGUUUUGUCUCACCACAGAUGGGAAGGAAGAAGGAAACUAAGGGGUUACAAGGAUGGAGAGGGAAAAGGAGAGGAAGAAAUCCCAAGGAAGCUGGUGUGCAGACGACCGAUCUAUUUUGGCUGAGAGCUUGACGUUGAUGUUCUGCUCCAAAGCGACUGGUCAUUCAAGCCCGAUGACUGGUCGUCCAAGCCCAACAAUCGGUCCUCACGAUAAUAGUGUCGCACGCUGUUUUGGCGUGUUUUGAUGUGGUUUCCUAUUAUUUUGGGGUUUUCUUGCCUAAUUUAAUAGAGUUUUAGUUUCCUAUUCCUAGUUAACUUGUAACCUAAGUUCUAUGAGUUAUAAAUAUGAAUUUUAGGGUGAGGUUAAAAGUAAGAGAGGAGAAUUCAUGAGUGAAUUUUCAAGAGAGAGACACAAGAAAGAAUUCAAGAGGGUGAAUUUCUUGAGUGUUUACAAGGGCAUCAAAGGGUUUGAACAAAGGUGUGAGAGAAAUUAAGACCUAGGAUUCGAGAGGAUAGAGAGCUAAGGGGUUCUUGUUGUAACCAAAGUUAUUCCUAUUCUUAUGAAAUUUCUCGAGGGAAUCACCAAAUAAGACGUAGGCACGAGACCGAAACUCUAUCAAUCUGUGUGUUUGCUUACUUUCUUCGUGGUAUGUGUGUGUUUUAUUCUUAAGGAGUUUGUGUGUGACGUUGCAUAGUCCAUCAACGACAAGGGCUUAGAGUGUUUCCGCACAACAGCCUUUCUGGGCACAAUUGCAUGUUGUAAUUUUUAUUUUCAUGCAUGCCAACUCGUUCACUUGCUCAUACAUUGAUUGGGUGAUCUGAUGGGGUUUAGGAUUGCAUUUAUCAAAAACUACCAUGUUACGAGCUUUCCAAAAUGCCCGACACAUUAUGGAAAUUUGAAAGAGAAUGCCCACGUCCUCCUCCUCCGUGUUUACGUCCUUGGUAACUCAACUUCACAGCCAUUAGUGUAGGGUUUCAAUUCUAUAAUUUCGAUGGCCUCCAAACCAAACAAGUUCAACCCAUGGGAAAGUUGCAGUAUAUACUCGACUGACUCUUCCUAAUCAUUGCAAAUGGGACAUAAGGGGGUGGUGAGAAGUUGACACUUGUAAAGGUUCAUAGCAUUGCCCAAGUGACCAUUGAGCGCACGCCACAGGAAGUGUCCGACCUUUAGGAGAACUUCAACAUGCAAUAUUGUCUUCCACACCUUGGAAUUGAUCGAUAGAGAUGUAGAGGAUCUUCUGGCUACGCUUAUGUGAUGGUGGGUAUGGAUUCUGUGAUAUCCACUUUUAUCUUCAGGCCAAACAAUGCAAUCCAUCUCUCUGCUACUACCUAAGGGGAUACUCAUGAUUGUACGUUCCUCCUCCACCGAGACAAAAGUGUGAAUAGGGUCCAAGUUACACAUCGUCAUUUCUAAUCAAUAAUGGAAUAGUUACACAUUUGUUGUCCAUAAUUUAGCUCGAGUCCCAUUAAUAAAUUACCAUUUUGCUCUAUUCAAGCUUACGUUUCUGCCUUUAAUGAGGCAUGUCCACGCCUAAGAUGCCCACCCUUUUUUUUUUUUUUUUGGUUUGAGAAAAUUACACUCUUGGAAGUAUUGAGCCUUAAUUAGCUAAGCCCACAUGGAAUUAGGUUCAGUGAUGCGCCUCCAACAUUGUCUGGCCAACAACCCCAAAAUAAAAUCAUGAAAGUCUAUGAAACCCAUCCCUCCCAUAUGUAUUAGGAGGUCAAGAUAACUCAUCUUUCUCAUCAUGCCUCUGACCCCACUAACUUUAGAUAUCUCCUCCUCUAAUUUUUUAUUUUUAUUUUUAUUUUAUUUUAUUCAGAAAGUCUCAGGUAACAAGAAGACUCAUAUUGGGUACGUCAGGACUUCUUGUGCAACAACUUUUAUAAUACUUCUCUUAUCUCUUAGCUUGGGAGAGCAUGCUCUGUUUCCACCCUUCAACCUUCUGCACCAAGUUCUCCCUGCCUAAUGCGCAUUGUAGGGUUGAAAGUAUCCCUUGGCUUCCAUAAUCUUAAAGGAUAAUAAGUAGCGUAUCUAGCUAGUGUAAAACCCCAACCUAAGCAUAGCCGCCUCGAGAAAGUUUGACUCCACUGGAUCAUAUGUUUUAUUCAUAUCCACAUUCAUACCUAACUUAUAGAUUUUGGUGGACUUCGUCCUGGAUGUAGCGAGUAAAGACAAAUGCACUAUGAGCAAGUGAUAUAAUUUGCGGUAUAAAAGAUUUUAACUGGUUGGCCAUUACUUUUGAUAUGAGUCUCCAAGUUUGGGACUUUGGGAAUGAGCACGAUGUUGGUUUGUUGAGGGAUAUUGGGCUGCGGUGGUGAGCUAAGAAGUCUUCCAUAAUUUCAUGUAUCUCCUUGUGUAUUAUGUUCCAAUGAAUACUUAUGGUAGCUAACACCUGAUAGCCAUCCAAUCUAGGCACCUUUAGGGCCCUCAUUUGGAUGACCUCCUCCUUAAUUACUGUAGAUUGAGAUCGUAGGCAAUAGUGAAAAUAUCUGUAGGAUGACUAAAAAUGUCUAGAGGAGGGUGAAUAGGCCAAUUUAAGAUUACAAUCAAAUAAGUAAAAAUAAACUUCGGUAGCAGGAUUGAUAUGGCUUAUCAAUCCUGAAACGUGCUUAGCAUAAAAUAAAAGAACACGCAGAGAAUUAUUUCUGGGGAAAAUCCACGGGACUCCUCAGUCCAACACAAAUCCACUAUAGAACGAUGAUUACAAGAAGUACUCACACAUUUAUCUUAGACACAUUCAAGAUAAUGUUUACCGACUUCUUCGUAACUCAACUUCUGUCACGGGAUGAUCUUCGACACUCCUUAUAUUGAACGCAAUACUGGCCACGAUUGCUUCAAGCUCGCCGGAGGAAAACUGCCAUCACGGUCUUGGUGCCCUCAACCAUAUGAGUCACCGAUAUGCAUAUGAAUGCAAUAUGAAUGAUUAAAGUGUUUGAUAAAUCACCAAGUAAACAUAGAACACUUGAUGAUUUAUCUCAAAUAUAUGCACAACAGCUUUUGCUUAAGAAUUCUAUAUGCUCAACACAAAUAUCAAAAGUUGUACAAAACCAAAGAGAUGCAAUCUACUUUUAUUCAAAGCUUCCUAUACCUAGUCAGAUGGCCGCACACGAGUACCAAACCCACUUCAAUUAUAACUAUGAACUUUUAGCUUAAUUUGGACUCUUAUGAAGACCACAAUUGGUUUUCAAACAUGAAUAUUAGUUCAAUAUGGAUUCUUAUUGAAAAACGCCAACCAACCAAUUUUUAAUAGAAAAACAAUAUCUAUUAAAACAAAUGAAUUAGACCAAUCAAGUAAGAGAAGAUUUCAACCUGCAAGUCAUAAUAGGAAAAGAUAAUAAUUUAACUUAAAUUAAAAUAGAGUCCAACUAGAAAAGUAAUCUUAAGAGAUAAAGUCUAAUCCUAUUAAAAAUAAGAUUAACAUAAAAAUACUUGAUUGAAAAAAAACUCAAACUAGGAAUCCUAUAAUGAAUGCAUGAUUAUGUCAUGAUUUACCUGAAAUAAAGUUUCUCAUAUUGGUCAAGUCAUGCCUCGGAUGUAUGGGGUUAAAUGAGUUGUGCCAAAACGUCUAGUAACAAUUCUUCACACACUAAUUUUCAACCUAUGCUAGAGUCUAGGAAAUGACAACACUAUUUUCAUACUAACGAAUAGAAUAUCAUUAGUAUUUUGGUUUAGCACACAAUCCACACAAUUAAAAAUAUUAUCUCUGAUGCAGGUGCAUCGCAAGCAAAAUUAGGAGAGCCUAAGAGAUCAAUCAAGCCACCUAAUUACCUGAAAGAUUAUUGCUUGAAAUAAAUUAGGAGACCUUCCUUACUACUGAUUUACUUCCUUUUCUAUUUUCCUUCUAUUUUGGUUUUCCUGAUUAUACUAGAAUUAUGUUUUCCUUAUAUUCCUUGGGUGUAGUUGUUAUUUAAACCUUUUUUUGUAGCCAAUUGAUCACAUUGAAUUUGAAAAUAUAUUUAAAAAUCGCAGCUAAGUUUAGCCGUAAAUUGUGAGUGUUUAUUGUAUAUUUCUAGUGUUGGUGUAGUUUUAUUGGAGGUUCGUGUUUGAGAUACCAUCUCCUCCAUCAAUUUGAUAUCGGAGCCAGGUUCUUGUGGGUGGGCAGAAGCCUCCAUGGCUUAUAAUAGGCGUGGUUGGGGUGGUGUCUGAAUAGAGGGCCGUAACACUAUAGACGACAUGGAUGAAAUUAAAAGAAUGAUUCAACAACUCACUUAUCUUGUCGCUCACAUUGAGACUCAAAGCCAUGGUGGUGAGAGUUCCAACGAGGAGGGAGACAAAAACCCCUUCUAAAACAACAUGCUGCUGGAAGGUGUGCAAAGGGAACGAGAUCAUUGCCGUCGAAAUCUCAACAUGAAAGUAGACUUACCUGAGUUUAAAGGAAAGAUGCAACUUGAUGACUUUGUUGACUAGUUCAAUACCAUUGAGCGUAUAUUUGACUACAAAGAGGUGCCGAAUAAGAAGAAAAUUAAGAUCGUGGCCAUUAAAUUGAGGAGGACUGCCUUUGCAUGGUGGAAGCAAUUGAAGAAUUAGCGUGACUGUACAUGGAAAUCCAAAAUUAAUACUAGGGAGAAAAUGAAGAAAGAGCUAAAGAGAAAAUGUUCACCAGAAAUCUACCUUUAAGACAACUUCUUGAAACUUCAUAAUCUACGAAAUGGACAUUGGACUAUCACGGAAUAUACUAAAGAAUUUGAUCUCUUAAUUAUGAGGUGCGGACUCAUCGAAGAAGAAGAACACAGUCGCACGUUCUCUUGGAAGGAUGCGUAGAGAAAUUCAUGAUGCGGUAGUUUUACAGUAAUUAUGAUGAUGUCUUCGAGUUAGCCAUACAAGUAGAGAAGCAGAUGAAGACAUGGUCAAGGCUUAUUGAAUGACUAAAGGCUCAUAAAAUUCAGAACCAGGUAAGCCCAAGACCAAUGCACCGAAAUAGCCAACAAACCGAAGGGGAUCAAGUGUUUCAAAUCUUCUAGAAUAGGACAUAUUGCUUAUGAAUGUCCUAACAGAAAAAUUGUAAGUUUGGUUGAGGAAUUGGGCGAAACGAGCGGUGUAUCAAAAGAGAUGCUGCUCAUAUUUGAUGAUUAUAGGGACAAUGAAGAAGAAGAGAUCACAUGGAGUGACCAUGGAGAGUUCUUGGUGAUUUGAAGGGUCAUGAAUGCUACCAAGGUGGAGGAGAACCCUAAUUGGCUUAUGAAUAAUAUAUUCCAUACCAAGUGUACCUAUCAUGGAAAGUUAUGUAGCGUUAUUAUUGAUAGUGGUUGUUUUGAAAACAUUAUUUUAUAGGAGAUGGUUGUUAAAUUGAAUUUGAAGACUGAAAAGAAGCCAAUCCCUUAUAAGUUGUCUUGGGUCAAGAAAGGGAACGAAGUCGUGGUGAAUCAACGAUGCCUAGUGACAUUCUCCAUCAGGCAAAAGUAUCAAGACUCUCAAUGGUGUGAUUUAAUUCCAAUGGAUGCUUGCCACAUACUAUUGGGUAGACCUUGGUAAUUUGAUCGCAAGGCCAUACAUGAUGGAUACAAAAAUACAUAUACCUUCAUCAAAGAUGGUACGAAGGUCCUGAAAGAAGUGGAGGAGAGUGACGAUAUGUACUUGUUGAUGUUGAAAGAGGCAAAUCUAGAAAUUCUUAAUUUUCCUAAGGAAUUAACACCUAUUUUGCAGGAAUUUAAUGAUGUUAUUCUUGAAGAAUUACCUAUUAGAUUACCUACUAUGAGAGACAUCCAACAUUGCAUAGAUUUGAUUCUAGGUUCAACUCUCCCAAAUAAACCUCAUUACCAGAUGAGCCCAUUAGAGUACGAGGAACUGAACAGGCAAGUGACAGAAUUGUUGAUGAAGGGAGUGAUCUGAGAGAGCAUGAGCCCAUGUGCAGUACCUGCAUUGUUUGCGCAAAAGAAAAAGAAAAAGAAGGGACUUGGCGUAUUUGCAUCGACAAUCGGGCAAUAAACAAGUACAUAAUUCCAAUCCCUUGUCUAGAUGAUAUGCUAGACCACUUGUCGGAAGCAAAAAUAUUUUCCAAAAUAGUCUUGAGGAGUGGAUACCAUCAAAUACGAAUGAGGCUUGGUGACGAAUGAAAGACAUCCUUUAAAACUUAGGAUGGUGUAUUUGAAUAGUUGGUGAUGCCAUUUAGAUUGACCAAUGCUCCUAGCACAUUUAUGAGACUUAUGAACCAGGUAUUUCGUCCUUUUAUUGGGAAGUUUGUAUAUUUUGACGAUAUUUUGGUUUAUAGUCUUGAUGUUGUUCAACACCUAGAGCACUUGAGACAAUUUUCUGAAGUUUUAUGGGAGCAACAACUCUUCACCAAUUUGAAGAAGUGUGAAUUUUUGAAAAAUAGUUUAAUUUUUCUUGGCUAUGCAAUAUGAGCAGAUGGUACUAAAAGGGAAUUUUUUUUUGAAGCAAUACAAGGGUGCCCUAUACCACAAUUUGUCCAUGAUGUGUGAAGUUUCCAUGGCUUAGCUUCAUUCUACCAAAGAUUUAUCAGAAAUUUUACUUCUAUUAUGGCACCCUUGAUUGAUUGUAUGAAGCAUAAUCUUUUCAAGUGGACUGAGACUGCAGAGAAGAGCUUUCAAGCUAUAAAAAAAGCUAUGACUAAAUGACCAUUAUUGAUUCUGCCUAAUUACCCAAAGGUUUUUGAGGUAGAUUGUGAUGCAUCCGAAGUUGAGCAGUUCGUAGCCAGGAGGGGAGACCAGUUCCCUUCUUUAGAGAAAAACUCAAUGAAACCAGACAACGCUACUCCACUUAUGAUAUUGAGUUUUAUGCCAUUAUGCAAUCUCUUAGACAAUGGAGGUAAUAUCUGAUUCACAAGGAAUUUAUCCUUUAUUGAUCAUGAAGCCUUGAGAAUUAUCAAUAGGCAACACAAACUGAAUUAGAGACGUGCCAGAUGGGUGGAAGAAUUGCAGGAGUACAAUUUUGUGAUUAAACACAAGGCUCGAAUCCACAAUAAAGUAGCGGAUCGCUUAAGUUGCAAGGUGGCCUUAUUAUCUGUCAUGCAUGACAGGACCCGCCUCGAAUUCCUCGGAACCCGAGACGAAUCCUGUGGAAUUCCCGACACCACCCCGAUGUCGGGCCCACUUUUGAAACUAUAACUUCCUUUUUCCAAAAAGGAACAAAGGCACGAGACAUUCUACAGAAAUUUUGGCAGAGUCUCCCCUGUAAAUUGAACAUUUCCCAAAAAUUUCAACAUGCACAAAAUUCACAAUUUAAUAUCCCAACAGGCAGCACGCACAAUAUAACAACAUGCAAUUCACAUAGACGGCCUCCGACCUUCAUAUAAUCCGAAGCGAAACCACUAACAAACUCUAAACAAUGCCAGUAAUGAAUUCGGACAAUUUAUGAAUACCCACGGGAAGAAAAACAAAGGGGGGAAGGGGGCUGCUCGCAAGGAGAGAGAGAGAGAGAGAGAGAGAGAGAGAGAGAAUUUUCUGUUUUUAUAAAAAUCCCAUUUUGAAAUAAUUACGAUUGUGCCACUGAGUUUCUUUUGAUCGUAACUUCCUCGUUACAACUCCAAAUCGAGCCCACUAUGUGUCUACGGACUCAUCUCGUCGAGCUCUGCACUACAGCUGAAAUUCUCAAAUUCUUUCCCGAUCAAAAAGUCAACUUUAAACCCAAUAAAAUAUUCUAGGGGUAAAAUGGUCUUUCAUAUGCAUAAAUUAAUAAUUACCAAUUUAUUUAAGACCGGGUCAUUACAAUGCAGGUUAGAGUGGAGGGCUUUAAGCAAUUGCAGGAGUUAUAUAAAAGAGACAAUGAAUUUGGUGAAAUCUGGUUCGAAUGUGUGCACAAUAAUUCGGUACGAGACUACCAUAUUCAAGAUGGAUAUUUGUUCAAGGGGAGCAAAUUAGGCAUUCCUGAUUGCUCUUUGCGGUUAUGGACAAGUGAAGGGCGACAUGGGGGAGGCCUUGGAGGACACUUUGGACGUGACAAAACAAUUGAUCUAGUUGAGAACAAAUUUUAUUGGCCAAAGUUGCGAAAGGAUGUGGAAAGGUAUGUACAACGGUGCAUGACUUGCCACUUGGCCAAGACUCAUAGUCAGAACACGAGGCAUUACACUCAUUUACCAUAAACACAAGCACCAUGUGAAGACAUUAGCAUGGAUUUCAUUAUUGGCCUUCCGAAGAUGAAACAAGGAUUUGAUCUAGUCAUGGUAGUUGUUGAUCACUUUUUGAAGAGGGCCCAUUUCGUUCCUUGUAAAACAAUCAUGAACGCUAGCAAUAUUGCUCAUAUUUAUUUUCGGGAGAUUGUCAAAUUGCAUGGGAUUCAUACUACAAUUACAUCUGAUAGAGAAUCAUUUUAGUGGGGAUGCAAUGACAGGGUUGAUUAUAUCAAGAAGGUCCAUGAACGUGUUAGCCUUUGACUUAAAGAGAGCAACACAAAGUACAAGGAGAGUGCUGAUAAACAUAGGCGUUACAAUGAGUUUUAAGAAGGGGAUUUAGCAUGGAUCAACUUAAGAAAUGAGAGAUUUCCUCAUGGAAAAUAUGGUAAAUUGCAUGAUAGAGGUGGUGGACCAUACAAAAUAUUGAAAAGGGCUAGUCAAAAUGCUUAUGUACUUGAAUUGCCGAAUGACAUUGGUGUCUUGCCUACAUUCAACUUCACUGACUUACAAGCUUAUUGUCGUGAGAGUGAAGCCCCAUAUUUUGAUUCGAGGUAAAGUCCUUUCCAACCCGAGGAGUCUGAUGCAAGUGUCACAUCCUGGGAUCGGCUCUGUCGUAGCACAAUAUUGUCCGCUUUGGACCCCCCCUCUCUGCUCUCACGAUUUUGUUUCUGGAAACUCAUGAGCAACUUCCCAGUGGGUCACCCAUCCUGGGAUUGCUCUAACCCCAACUCGCUUAACUUCAGAGUUCCCAUGACUCCGAAGCUAGUAAGCUCCCAAAAGGCCUUGUGCCAAAUGGAGGUGGGCAUGUACAUAUAAGACAUAUCACCCUCUCUCCGUUGGUCGAUAUGAGAUGUUACAAUCCACCCCCCUUAGGGGCCCGACGUCCUCGUCGGCACACUCGCACCACAUGGCAGAAUGACUCUAAUACCAAAUUGUCACAUCUCGGGAUCGGCUCUGCCGUAGCAAGAUAUUGUCCGUUUUGGGCCCCCCUUUCUGCCCUCACGGUUUUGUUUCUGGGAACUCACGAGCAACUUCUCAGUGGGUCACUUUUCCUGGGAUUGCUCUAGUCCGAACUCGCUUAACUUAGGAGUUUCCAAGAAUCUGAAGGCAGUGAGCUCCCAAAAGACCUUGUGCUAGAUGGAGGCGGGCAUGUACAUAUAAGGCACAUCACCCCCUCUCUGUUGGUCUAUGUAAGAUGUUACAGGAAGGAGAUGAAGUUUCAGAUAGAAGACAGCAAGGGCAUAGCUACAUGUUAUCUGCCGUGGACUAUAUAACCCAAUGCACACUACUACAUUUUACUCUUUGCGCGACGAACAACAAAACAUCGCGCAAAGUCUUAUUUAGUCGCACUAAAUUAAGCGCGACAAAAUAUUCGUCGCGCAUAUUCCGUCGCGCGAAGAUCGUGAAGAAAGCCUUUGCGCGACGACGAAUAACCCGUCGUCGCGCAAAACUGUGCGACGGAUAAACCAUCGUUGCACCAACGGUGUGGAGACGAAAUAACGGUUCGUCGCAUGAAUAUUUGCGCAACGACAAUGUAUUCGGCGUACGUAAUUUACGCGACGACAGGGAUAGCGCGACGAAAUAUAAUUCGUCGCGCAAAACUUGUUCGGGAGACGUAUAUGUUCGUCGCAGAACCAUUCGCGCGAUGAGAAAGGUUUUGUCGCUCAUACCUUUGCGCGACGCAAAUAUCUGUCGUCGCGCAAAAUAUGUUGCGCGACGAAAUAUUGCGACGCGCAAAGAGACGUAUGUAUUCGUCGCGCAAGAAUUAAAAGUAAUAAAAAAGUUGAUUUUUUAUUUUUUUGACAUGUGGGUUUGCGCGACGAAAUAUAAUUCCGUCGCGCAAAAAUAAUAUUACAAUUUUUUUUUUUUGUCAAUAAAAUUGGUUUUUUUUUAUUGAUUAAAUGAAAUUGCAAUAAAAAUAAAUUAGAAUAAAAUUUUGUUAUAAAAUAAAAUAAAUGUAUUACAAAUAAAAUAAAUGUUUAUGAUGAAAAUAAAGACACUAAUCAAAUAAUGAAGCAAAAUCAACCGGGUCGUCGCCAGUAUGCGGCUCGGAGGUCUGGGCGUCCACCGGGGCAGUGGUCUGGUGGGCAUGCUCGGGGUGGACGGGCUGGGAGGUCGGCACAUCAAAAUGCGGGACUGGAAUGCCGGACUGUGCGAGGGACUGCAGAAUGACCGACAUCUGGCUCUGAAGAGUGGCCACCUGUGCUGUCAAAGCAGUGACCUGACUGUUUGACUGCACUGAUGAACGGGGUCUGGGUUCCCUCCGCCUGGCAUUCCCCAUCCCUCUACAAUAUGUCCCCGGUCUCCUCCCUAGAGUCUGAUCCAAUGUCUCCGUCAAGAUCUGAAACCUAGCAUCCUGUGGAGGAUCCACAGACUCGAUCAGAGUAUCGGGAGGAAGUUGGGAGGCAGACUCCUGAAGAACCAACUGGCUCCUCUCCACCAUCGUCGUCUGUUUAGCAUAACAUAAAAUAUAAAUUCAAACAUUCAUAUAAUAACCUUUAAAGUUGAAUGCGCAACAUAAGAAUUAAAAUUAAAUAAUACUUACAUGAAGGGACUCGGCCAAUUCAUUCCCAGGUCGAACAUAAACGUCGCCAAAGACGUCGAUCUCUGGGAAUUUGGACCCCCCCCCCCCCUAAAUUGAACACAAGAAGAAAAAUAUUAGAACGAAAAAAUAAAUUAAGAAUAAUGAAAAAGUAAAAAUUAAAUAAAAAUUAUUUUAUUAUUACUUGACGCCGGGCAUCCAUCCUAUAGGAGAAGGGCCUGGAACCCGAAUGAUGGAGAAGAGUCUUCUUUUUCCUAUUGCCCUUAUUGACUUUGGCUUUAUUCUGUUAUACAAAAAUAAAAUGUAUUAGUUGAAAUUGAAAUUAAAUAUAAAAAAUUAAAUAAACAAUAGUAAGAAAAUAAAAAUAAAUAUAACAAAUUACCACAAAAGCGGGUGCCUGAAAAUGAGCGCAGAGCCAAGCCCAACUAUCCUCCCGCCCCUCAAGCUCUUUCGGGCAACCCUCUUGAAGAGCAACUUGCGGAUCAUCGAACGCCUCAAAAUGGCGGUGCAAGUCGCUCUUCCACUGCUUGUACCUCUCAGAGAAGAGUCUGUUGACGUACGCCAACGACUCUUCAUCAAGGUCCUCCAAGUUGUAGUUCGUCUGCAAUAAAUUAAUUACAUACAUUUAAAUAAUAUAAAUAUAACGUUUGAAAGAAAAAGAAUGAAAAGGCCUACAUACCGACAACUGGCCGCGAACCUGAGUCUUGGUCUCGUCAGGCAUCACCUUCCAAGACUUCCAUUGCAUCGGGCAAUAGCUCCGAAUGACAUGACCAAUGUCGUGGGCCAAGGAGCUAUGCAACUCCGCCUUCGGUGCAGCCCGAUGUCGCUCGUCGUAUCCGAUGUUGAUACGACUGUUGGUCACCCGGGUGACCUUCGCCGUCUUCAACUGCCGACACGGCCCUCGGGUGUUCCUCUUGGCUGCAAAGAAAGAUGACAUGAAUGUUAAAUAAAUAACAAAUUUAACAAUCAAAUACACACACACACACACACACACACAAAACAAGAAAUAAAAAAUAAAAUUAACUGGAGAAAAAGGAAAGCUAUACCUGGCUGUGACCCCGACGCAUCAGUGGAUGUGGUCUCAGUGGUGCUUGCGGGCCGAUGACGCCGCCUGGCACUAACAGGCUGCGCCACUGACGACGCGGAUGAGGCAGGCCCCUGGGACCCCGCAGGUCCAACUGCCAAGUGGUCCAUCAGUGCCGGCGCAGUGGCAGGAGAUGCUGGAGCAGUGGCAGCAGAUGUCGGCUGAGUCGGGGGCGCCGUACUCUACGUGGUCGUCACCGCCCUACGACAUGUAAUCAGGUCUGACAUCUGCACAUUUUCAUUAAUACACAUAAAAAUUAAUAAAAUAUACGAAUAUUUGAAAACACAUACAAUUUCAUUCACAUUAUUGACCUAGGGUUUGCGAGUUCGGAGUAUCCGGGACUCCGAUCCACGAUCCGUCGAAUCGUAGACGAUCCAAGAAAUACAAGGUACACCAUACGUGAGUUUGAGUUCGAUCCAACGGUCCGAACAUAACAACCCCGGAAAUCGCACAAUAGGCAAAAUCCAUUCAAGGCGCAAACGGUAACCAAAUUCUAAUCCGAAAACACCUAUGCGCUCGUGACAACUACAGGAAUGCACUAGGACCGAAUUCGGGUUCCUACAGGAACCCACGCGCCGCCCCGUGCGCUGCCGGCGCGCGGGUGUCCAAAGCGAUAUCAAUCGCCGGAAAAUGCUUAAAACUAAGGGGCAAGGUUCCUAUCCUAGGUUCAAAACAUCAAUUGGAGCCACUUUUGUUCUCGGACAUACCCCGAAAAAUGGCCGGAAGUGGCCGGAAUUGAAAAUCAAAAUCCGGCCGAAACUUAGGGUUUCAAAUUAAGUGCCCUAGUGCAACAAAUUCAGAAAUCCUACCCAACCAUCAGCUAAAGCGUUAAAAAUAGGAUAGAAACCAUACCUCAGUUGUCGGAAUUGGUCGCCGGAGGAGGGAGAACACGGCGGAGCCGAUUCGGUGAAAACCGAAGAAAUCGCAGCGGCUGGCUUGACGGCGACGGCGGGGGAGCUCCGGGGUACCACCAACGUUGCGGGCGCGGUCCAAAUCCACCGGGGUAGGAGGCUGAGCUGACGGCGGGGAGAAAUUUCAGAAAUCUGGGGAAGAAGGAGGCCAUCGCGUGGUUUCUGAAAUUUUAUUCGUUUUUGCGCGACGAAGCCAAAGUAACGUCGCGCAAGAAAUUUUAAAUGGCUAUUGCGCGACGAAAAAUAAUUGAGUUCGUCGCGCAAAGUCAUUCAUCCGCCAAAAUUUGGUGAAAGUGUCAUUUUUGCGCGACGCACAAAUGUGAGUGUUCGUCGCACAAUGUUGGCAGUCUGCCAAAAUUUGGGAUUUAGGGUUUAGCGGGCGAAUUUUAUUCUUGCGCGACGCACAAGCAUAUGUUUCGUCGCGCAAUGAUGGCGGCCGCCAAAAUUUGGGAUUUAGGGUUUAGCGGGCGAGAUUGAAAUCUUGCGCGACGUACAUUCAUAUGUUUCGUCGCGCAAUGUUGCGAAAAAACUCGCCAAAAAAAUGACAUGAUGUCUGUCCAAUGAGACAGGGCUGGCUGAGAUUGCGCGACGUACUACUAGCGUCGCGCAAAAUCUCAAAAAUGUCAAAGUCCGGCUGAUAUUGCGCGACGACGUUAAGAAGUUUCGUCGCGCAAUCCCUCGCAAGAAAAUUUCCGCUAAGUGUCCAGGGAGGAAGACAGUUAAAUGUGAAAUGUGAAAUAUUGGCUGAUAUGGCGCGACGAAGGGAAUCUAAUGCGUCGCGCAAGACCUCGCAAAAAAUUUUCUCCUAAGUGUCCAAGGAGGGACAGAGUGAAAUGUGAAAGUUAUGGCUGGUAUGGCGCGACGAACUGACUUGUAUUCGUCGCGCAAUUAAGUCCUUGGCAGGCCUUGCGCGACCAAAUAAGUUUAUUCGUCGCGCAAACCCUAAACCCUAAACCGCAGAAACCCUCAACCCGAAACUAGUUUUCAUGAUCCAACCGGCAAACUUGUUUUUUUACACUUCGAGAUCGUAUAUGCCAAAAAUCGACAAAAACAAAGUUUAAGAGAUCGAGUAACAGGACGAAACUUAUCGACGGUUGUAAAUGAAAAGUCAUGAUUUAACGGUUAUUUUAGCUCUGAUUUGUAUAAUUUUUUGCAGCUACUUUUCUUUACCCUAUUUGAAUACAAUUAGUGAAUUUGAUCUUCAAUUUCAGAUGUUUACACUAGGGUGAUAUGACAUAAGGUGAUGUUAUAUUUAACGAACGUAUAAGUAAACUAUUUAUUGUUUGUGAAUAUAUGGUUGAUAUGGCAAAUGCAUUCUACAAAAGUAGUUUCAGCAAUCCAGCCGUCAAACUCGUUUAUUUGUACUUCGAGAUCUUACACCCCAAAAAUCGAAAAAAUAAAACAUUCAGAGAUCAAGUAACGGGACAAAACUUUUGAACGGUUAUAAAUGAAAACUGAUGAUUUAACGGUUAUUUUAACUCCGAUUUUGAUGAAUUUUUACACCUACACUCCAUGACCCUAUAUGAAUACAAUACUCUAACUCGAUCGUCAAUUUCAAAUAUAUAUGUGUAUAUGUAAUAUAUAUUAUAAAAUGAUAUAUAUUUGCGCGACGAACAUAGUUUUAUCGUCGCGCAAACUUUUGCGCGUGACGGAAGACACGUUGUCGCGCAAUGUUUUAACUUCACGCGACUAGUGUAUUUUGGGACGCGCAAACUUUGAACGACGAGGUUUUCUUCGUCGCGCAAAAAUAGCACGACGAGGUCCACUUCGUCGCGCAAGGGUUUUAUGUUUUGCAAAAUGUUUAUUGAUCAAUGUUUUAUAACAAAUUUUGUAUCAUUUUCAUUUUAUAAAUUUGUUUUGUCAAAAACAAAAAUUAAAAAUGAUUAUUAAAAGGGUUUGGAUAUAUUGAUUUACCAAUGUUUUAUAACUAAAUUUAUUUGAAUAAAGUGUCAGUUUUCCACAUAUAUAAGGUUUGGAUAUUUGUACUAUAUAUAUUCAAACAUUUGUAUUACACAAAGUCUGUACUGUAACAUAAUAAAAUUACAACAAAUUUAAUUAUUCAUCAUCUGAACUAUAAUAACUUUCGUUAUCGUCGCUAUCAUCACUUUCGGUCUCCCAAUCCUCCUCCUCCUCGUCUACUAUAACUACAUCAUCUUCGCUGCUCAUGCCCACUGCAACAUCGAAUCUUGGAAGAUCCCCGAGGUCAAUUGUAAUUGACUGAAUCGGUAUUUCGAUUGAAGACACUCCUUGGAUUUGAAACGGUUCUUGUAUAACAUGUGUAUCUCGAAGUGUUUCCGCAUCAUUUUCCAUUGAUGAUUCUAAACGUUGGUCAGCCACAUUGUCGACGUCGUUGUCAGUUAGGUCUAGUUCUGGUAUAGCAUACAUGUUCCUAUGAUCCAUCUUUUGAACAACUUUCCAACUGCUGCCGGCUUUAGGGUCAUCUAGAUACACAAUUUGUGUUGCCAUGUUCGCCAAAAUGUAAGGGUCGUCAUCAUACCAAGUUCUGUUAAUGUUCACAGAUAGUAAGCCGUGGCCGAUUUUAACACUUCCCGGCCUAUUUGGGUUGCUAUCAAACCAUCGACACUUAAACAUGAUCACUUGGUAUCGAUCUUUGUAAAGCAAUUGAACGACAUUUGUGAGUUUGCCAUAGAAAUCAAUGUUCGUACUUUCGCCUCCACCUGGGACAUGGACACCGCUGUUUUGCGUACACAACUUGUCAUCUCGUGCAGCCCCCAAAAAUUUAACGCACAUGUUAGUCUAAUAAAAUUAAAUACUACAAUUUAUAUUUGUCAAAUACAAAACACUUAUAACUUACAGAUUCCAAAAACCAUUGUGGAAAUAAUUCACGUUGUUUCUGGGCAACUAAAUGUGAUGGAUGUUCUCGCUUCAUCAUCUCUUCAUGCUCAUCUAAGUAUGCCAUUAUCUCAUCACAAUUGUUCAGUACGAACCAAUGCGCUACUUCCAUGUCAUUUCUAGAAAAUGACUCCCCUCGUCCAGGAUCUCCAAAGGGCCGUGCGCUUUGGGCAAAAACAGAAAGUUUUUCCUUUCUCAUACCUCCGUCGUUAUUACGCUGAGGACGAUUGAAAGCCGUCUCCACAUCUUUUAAAUACAUUCCACAGAAAGUAAGCGACUCAUAUUGAACCCAAGCCUCUAUAAUUGAUCCUUCUGGCUUCGCCCUGUUGCGUACACUUUUUUUCAGCUCUCCGAGAAGCCUGUCAAAAUAAAAAGAUAUGAUACAAAUUAGCAAGCCUGUGAUAAUGAUGCAUACACAAACGAAAAUGAUUAUAUACCUUUCUAUUGGAUACAUCCAGCGGUAGUUGACAGGACCAGCAAGCAAUGCCUCUCUGGCAAGUGAACCAUCACGUGCAUCAUACUUGUGAAGAAAGCUGGAGGAAAUAUCAUCUCAAACUUGCAUAGGACUUGGACAAUGUCAUGGCGCAACUGAAACAUGUCUGUCCUUGGCAAUGUUUUUGCCGUCAGUUGGGAAAAAAAUCUGGAUAACAAGAUGAUUGGCUUCACCACAUCUUUCGGCAGUAGGUGUCGAAUACCCACAGGAAGUAGGCGUUGCAUAAACACAUGGCAGUCAUGGCUCUUAAGUCCAGUAAAUUUACCCCCAUCGACAUUCACGCAACGUGCGAUAUUAGAAGCAUACUCAUCGGGAAAUUUGACAGACGAUACAAACUUUAGAAACUCUUUUUUGUCAUUCGGUUUCAUAGAGAAGAAUGCAAGAUCCCUUCUAGCUUUAUCACUGUCCCUAUUCAUCCAUAAACCCCUUCGUAUGCCCAUUCUUUCCAAAUCAAGACGAGCUUUGAUCGUAUCCUUCGUCUUCCCCUCGAUAUCUAGAAUCGUGCCCACCAAUGUGUCGAAUACAUUUUUCUCAACAUGCAUCACAUCUAGAUUGUGCCUCAAUUUCAGUUUCGACCAAUAUGGGAGCUCAAAAAACAUAGGCUUGUGCGUCCAGUUCAAAUGUGUAGAAGGUCUGGUCCGACUAACUGUUUUCCCGAACGGAGCAAAAUCCAAACGGUUCAGCUGUUCCAAGAUCUCAUCACCGGACCAUUCUCUAGGUCUGAGGCGACGCUCUGUGUUCCCGUCGAACUCUUUAUCUUUUUCUCGCCACUCGUGGUCCCAUGGCAACCAUCUCCGAUGACCAAGGUAACAAACUUUUUCCGCGUGCCAACCAGAAGUUACAUCUUCCUUGCAUACAGGACAUGCCAUAUAACCCUUUGUGCUCCACCUAGAAACCAUUGCAUAUGCUGGAAAAUCAUUCACAGUCCACAUAACUGCUGCUCGCAAAGUGAACAUCCUCCCAGUUGAUUUAUCGUACGUGCAAACACCGUUUGUCCAUAAAUCCUUCAGCUCAUGAACCAGAGGCCUUAAGUACACAUCAAUUGACCUGCCAGGAUCCUCAGUUAUCAAAACAGUCAUCAUCAUGUAUUCUUUUUUCAUGCAUUUCCAAGGCGGCAAAUUAUAUGGGAAUGCGAAAAUCGGCCAAGUGCUGUGGUGUUGGUUUAGAACCCCAUACGGAUUGAAUCCGUCAGUGGCAAGUCCCAAUCUAACAUUUCGGGGAUCAGCAGCAAACUCGGGGAACGUUCGAUCGAACUCUUUCCAUGCCUCCCCAUCUGCAGGAUGCCGCAUCACAUCAUCGUCUACCCGUUUUUCCUUAUGCCAUCUCAUGUCUGUGGCAGUAUGCGUCGACAUAUACAAUCGCUGCAACCUAGGUUUAAGGGGCAGAUAACGCAUGACUUUUUGUGGUAUCUUAGUCGUUCUAUUCUGGGAUGUCAUUUUGAACCUCGACUCAUUACAUAUAGGGCAUGUAUCCAACGUUUCAUGCUCUUUGUAGAAUAACAUGCAAUUGUUUUUGCAAGCGUGGAUUUUUUCAUAACCCAAUCCAAGACCAUGCAACACCUUCUGUGCAUGUUUAUGAUCUUUCGGCAAACAAUUGUCCGUCGGAAGCAUUCUCUUGAAAACUCCCAAAAAGUAAUCGAAACACAAGUUCGACAUACGAUACUUUAUUUUUCCGUGCAUUAGCUCCACAAUGGCAGUGAGAACGGAAAAGCUCUCACACCCCGAGUAUAACUCUUGGUUGGCAUUUUUUAACAGUUUUUCAUACUGUUCAAACUCCGCACUGUCUAUUGCUGUAGGCACGUCAUCUUCCCCUUCCUGAUUGAUGUUGGUCGAUGCGAAUGGAAAAGCAUCCUGUAUAAUACCCAUGACUUGAUCAUUAGGAUCCACAAUAGGUUCAACAUUGUCCACUCUUGGGGCAUUUGAAGACGAAGCAGGGUCUACUUGUUCGCCGUGAAGAUUCCAAAUGCUAUAUGUUUCAAUCAUUCCAUUCCUUACUAAAUGAAAUCCAACAUUUUCAAUUGUCUCCCACAACGUGUUGUUACACCUCCUACAAGGGCAACGGAUUCUAGUUGCACCCGGGUUGUGUCUACGUGCAAACUCAAUAAAAUCCUCGAUUCCAUCCAAGUAUUCGUCUGCGCAUCUAUUCGGGUUCUGUAUCCACCUUCUGCUCAUAAUUCCUGAAACCACAAUCACGACACAACAAUCACAACAACUUCAUACGAAGUUAUAAUGUCACCUUAUGCCUCCGGUAAGGGCCCUAUCCCAUUCGGGAAUGCAUAGUCCUGUCACGUAACCUACGGCUACAUGAGAUUAGAUUUCGAUGUGGAUUAAUUUCGGCAGCAUCUCGACACAGUUCUUGAAGUGGGCAUAGGUAUAAAUACCUACGUACCACCCGAAGAACGUACCGAGAUGACACCGAAAUCUCCACAAUCGAAACCUAAUCCUGUAGCCGAAGAUUAUGUGACAACACUAUGCAUUACCAAACUGUCCAAAUAAUGGGACAAUUCAAGAAUUAAUUGGACAGCAGUCAUGCCUUACGCAUCCACGCACAAAAUCCAACUAAUCUCGAACGGGAAACUACGUGUUACUAAACAUAAAAAUAAAAGUACGAAGUUAAUUUCAAUUAACUUCGUACAUCACAAAUACAUUGUGCUACGUCACGCACAAUUUCACAACAUUAUACACAUAUAACUUCACAAAAAAAUUACAAACUUAACAAACAAACUUUUACAAUAACAUACCUUCUCAAUCGUUCUCCACUAAUCACAGAUAUCCCUAACGAGAACAAAAUUAAUAGUGUUAGUACGAAUUUACAUUAAUACAUUUAAACUAAUGACAAAAAAUACAUACCCAAUUAACGUACUGAAUUCACAGCAGAGCAGCGGCAGAAGGAGUGAGAAAGAGGAGAGAGAGGCAGAAUGCAAUUUCUGCAUUCUGCCUCUGCAAUGGCAGAUACUAAUAUGAAGAAGAAGGACUUUGCGCGACGAACAAUUGAAUUCGUCGCGCAAAAAGCCGUCGCAAAAGGGCACUUUUCCGUCGCACAAAACAACAUUUUCGUCGCGCAAAUACGUGCCGACAUCUGCUUUUUUGCACGACAAAACACACUAUGCGUCGCACAAAAUUCGUCGCGCAAAUUAUAUUUUUCGUCGCGCAUGGUUUACUUUUCGUCGCGCAACAUUUUAAUUUCGUCGCUCAAAAUGUUAAUUUCGUCGCGCAAGAACUCACCGGCAUUCAACUUUUCGCGACGAAGAAAAUCCGUCGCGCAAAAAAACAUUUUAUCCGCCUUUCAUUUUGGCGCCAAAAAGAAGUAUCCCUCGUUUUCUUACGCGACGGUACAUUUUUUCGUCGCGCUAAGUUGUCUUUUGAGACGAAAACUCUCGUCGCGCAAAUGUUUUACCCGCCAAAAAAAGGAGCCAAUUUUCUGUCCAUCUUUACGCGACGAAUCUUUUAUUUGUCGCGCAAUAUUGUCAUGCGCGACGAUUUUUGUCGUCGCGCAAGAUUUUGGCGCCAACAAAAAAAACCAGGUUUUUUUCUAUUACCUUUGCGCGACGAAAUGAAUUUAGGUCGCGCAUACACUUUUUGCACGACGAUUAUAUUUGUCGCGCUAGUUUUCUGUUGUUUGCGCGACGGAAAUUGUUUUUCGUCGCAAUAGUGUUGUUUGCGCGAUGAAAACUUCUUCGUCGCGCAAACUUUCGUCGCGCAAAUAGUAAAUCGUACUAGUGGUAAUUAUGCAACCUUGUUCCAAAAUGUAUUUUACGGUAUAAUAUUUUAGCUUUUAAAUAAGUAGUUUCUUACAGCUAGCUAGUGACGGAGAAGUUAUAUUUUCCUAACUUAAAUCAUUGUUAAUUGCAUCUUUUGAAGGACAAAAGUUCAAAUUAGUUGUUCUUGGUGUGACUAAUUUUUGUUUUCGCAGUUAACAAAAUAUCACCAUCAAUUUAUAUUGGAGGAGUUGCUUGCAGAGGGAGAAAGGGGUAACAACAACGUUACCAAUUUAUUAAAAAACUCAAUAACCUAUCUAGCUGAUGUGGUAAAAUCCAAAACCAUGGGAAUUCUUCAAUAUACCAGAUUUUUUAUAAUGCACAAAAAUAUAUUCUUUUUAAUGUUGAGUUUCGGAAUCCAUAGAGACAGGUAUCCAUUUAUUUUGUAUGCAUUUUAUUUUUUCAACGGCAUCUAAUCUUUGAGUUUGUAUCAUUUCGUUAUAAAAUAAUUGGGCCUUUAUUAAAUUUCCUCCUUUUAAUUUUGAAUUGAAUUGGGCAAAUUAUUAUUAUUAUUUUUACAAUACUUGGGCCUAACAUAAUAUUUACAAGUAAUAUUUAUAUAACAGAAUUUUUUUCCAUAAAAAAAUAACAUAGGUAUGUAUAUACAAAUUGGGGGCCCUCCAAAUAUGAGAGCCUAGGCGGCCACUUUACCUGCUUGUGCCCAAAGCCUUCCCUAUCUGUCUCCACUCAUCCAUGGCUGCUCAAAAGUUCAGUAGCAAUUAUAACCAAAAAUCAGAAGAAUGGCUAUUGGUUCUUGAUAUAUAAAAUCUAAGGUCCACAAUUCAGCAGUAAAUAGCCAAAACUUAAAGCUAUAAAAGGAACCAAAGCACCCAUGAUGAAGCCAUUUCUGAAAAAUUUCAGAGAUGAAAAUUUUGAAAAAUCAAAAGAACGGCUAUUUAUAUAUGGUUCUUUCCCCUUCCUCGCCAGAAGAAAAAUAAUUUGUGGUUCAUUCAAAAACUCGUUGAAGUUUGUGGACAAUUUAGAUUUUUGUGUUUAAUAUCAAAAUUGGUAUAAGAUUUUUUCCACACACAUGGAUAUAUAUAGAAAGCAAUGUAUUAAGAAAACCACACACAAAACGUAAACAGAAAUAUCUUAAUGUCAAUGUAUUAUUUCCACAUUAACUUGUGACUUGUUCAAUCUUCACGAACGGUGAGGCUUAGAAACUUAGGAAAGUUUAGUAGAGAAGCCGGACCAAUCCUUGAUACAAAUACACUAUCAGGCACAUGAAUGAUGUAAUAGUUGAUGGAUUAACCACAUGUUAUUGUUACGAAAUAUGGUCAAGUGGCGAAGCCAAGAUUUGAUGUGUGUAGGGGCCUCUUACAAAUUAUAAAGAAUCAAAAAUUCGAACUCACAAUACAUACGAAAAAUAGUAUAUAUAUAUAUAUAUAUAUAUCACAUAUGUCAAGAAUUAUAUUGCUUAUUAAUUGCAAUCAUAAUUGUCCUCGACAAAGGGAUAGACAAAUACAUUUUAAGCAAGAAAAAUUGUAAGAGAUAGACAAAGAGUAGCGAUUUAGCAAAUAUCUUUAAAGCUUUUUCCCCCAUUAAACCAAAUAGAAAGAAAAAAUCAAAAUUUCACAAACUAAAAAAAAAUUAGGUCCCUUCAUGCAUUCAUAUCAUACAUGAAAAAAUAUUUUAUGUAAAAAUAUUGACUAAGUAUGAAAAAUGGUUUUUCGAAAUAAUCAUUUUCUUAAGAUAAUUUUUGGCAGCUUUUAUUCCUUACACAUCAAAUAAGAAAACUUGAUUUUAUGGGAUUUUAGUAUAAAGUAUAUAUUGACUUAAUGAGCCAUCAUUUUUAGCCUAAAUCGUAUUUUGCACUAAAACCGAUUUUUCAUACUUUGAUUUGGUGGGAAUUUGAUUUUCUAGUAUUUUUAUUUGAAUCCAAAUAUGAGGUACUUCCUUAUUUACAUUGUAAACUUAAGUAAUGGAGUAAUAUAAAAAUAAAUGAAAAUAAAAGGACAAACCUGGAGUGCACCACCACCAACUGAGCAAAUAGGCAAUUUGAAGCACCUCAUUGUGCCUUAAUAGAUCCCCACAACACAUAUGGGUACAUAUCAAAAUGUAAAGUAUUUGAAAUAAUAUACAUAUAAAAAUACAUAACAGUAUAUUACUUUUAAAAUAUAUAAAAACUUGAGUGGGAGCCCGCCCCUGAUGUGGUCCUUCUAACAUUACUCAUAAGAGACUUGAUCAACUCUAGUGCAACUAACUCCUCGUUAAUGCCUAACCAAGCAUCAAGAAAGAAAAACAACCGAAGAUCAAUGCCAUGAGGAGAGAUCCUGACCGUGUCACUAACUAAAUGAUCCAUUUUUUACGUACGUAAUUCACUCCUUGUUGCCAUGAAGUCAUCUAGUAUAUAUAAAUCCCUCAAACACACACUUCAUUUCACCGAGCUACUCUUUUCUUAAGAACAGUUGCCUUGAGGUCGUGGACCAUAUACAAACUACAACAUUCCUCAAAUUAGAUACUAAGAAUUAAGGUACAGUUAAGCAGGAAAACUAUGGCGGGUGGUGGCUUUGGGGCCGCGUCAGGAGGCGGAGACUUUGAAGCAAAGAUCACGCCUCUAGUGAUCAUGUCUUGCAUAAUGGCCGCUAGCGGAGGCCUCAUGUUCGGUUAUGAUGUUGGUAUUUCAGGUAGGCAUUGUGGAGCUUUUCAUAUCAUUCACGUAAAAUUAAUUAACCUUUUUUUUUUUGGGGUUAAAAAAUUAAUUAGAAUUCUUUCUUAAUUUAAUUAAUUUGACACGUGUGAUCAUUGUGAUGGAUGCAGGGGGUGUUACAUCCAUGCCUCCUUUCCUGAAACAAUUCUUCCCGGUUGUUUAUAAGAAGACUCAAGAGACUGGACUUGAGAGCAACUACUGCAAAUACGACAAUCAAGGCUUGCAGUUGUUCACAUCUUCCUUGUACCUCGCUGCUUUAAUUUCAACCUUCUUUGCGUCGUACACAACCCGAUCCCUGGGGCGAAAGCUCACCAUGUUCAUUGCUGGGGUUUUCUUUGUAGUCGGAACAGUUUUUAAUGCUGCAGCUGUUAACCUUGCCAUGCUUAUCAUUGGGAGGAUCUUGCUUGGUUGUGGAGUUGGUUUUGCUAACCAGGUACAUAAUUAUUUCCUAAUCUUAGUUUUUUCUAUAACAUGCUAGGUUUUACUAAUUAAUGAAUAUAAGUACAGGCAGUGCCGCUUUUUCUUUCGGAGAUUGCACCCACAAGAAUUCGCGGGGCACUUAACAUACUCUUCCAGCUAAAUAUCACCAUUGGCAUUCUUUUCGCAAAUCUUAUCAAUUAUGGAACUGCCAAGUAAGCCACCAUCCUCCCUAAUAUUCCAUUAAUCAUCACCGGUAAUUAGACACGAGUGAUUAAUUAAUGUACUUUUUCUGGCACAGAAUUGAAGGGGGAUAUGGAUGGAGAGUGUCACUAGGUUUGGCUGGCAUUCCAGCAGGUAUGCUGACUAUUGGGUCUCUCAUUGUGGUAGACACACCUAACAGUUUGAUCGAACGAGGUAAGUUGGAGGAAGGAAAAGCAGUUCUUAAAAGGAUUAGGGGUGUUGACAAUGUGGAUCCAGAAUUCUUAGAGAUUGUGGAGGCAAGUCGUGUGGCAAAAGAAGUGAAGCAUCCUUUCAGAAACCUCCUUAAGCGUAGGAACAGGCCUCAAUUGGUCAUUGCAAUUUGGAUGCAGGUGCCGCAACUAUACUAGAACUUGUGCUAACUAAGGCAUUUCAAAAUCUUAGUUACAUUUAACGCGUAUCAGAUAAUCUCACAUGUUAUGUUUUACAUGCCUACAGAUUUUCCAGCAAUUCACUGGCAUUAACGCAGUCAUGUUCUACGCUCCAGUUUUGUUCCAGACCUUGGGAUUUAAGAGUGAUGCUUCCCUCUACUCAGCUGUUAUCACAGGAGCUGUCAAUGUCCUCUCAACCGUUGUAUCAAUAUACUUUGUUGACAGAGCUGGUCGGCGCGUGCUAUUGUUAGAAGCCGGUGUCCAAAUGUUCCUUUCUCAAUUGGUGGUUGCAAUAAUAAUGGGACUCAAAGUGAAGGAUCACUCUAACAACCUUGGCCAUGGCUUGGCAAUUAUUGUGGUGCUUAUGGUUUGCAGUUUUGUUUCAUCGUUCGCGUGGUCUUGGGGACCUCUCGGGUGGUUGAUCCCUAGCGAAACAUUCCCAUUAGAGGCCCGCUCAGCAGGCCAGAGUGUGGCUGUCUGUACCAACAUGCUCUUCACCUUUAUCAUAGCACAGGCCUUCCUCUCAAUGCUUUGCAACAUGAAGUUUGGCAUUUUCCUCUUCUUCACAUUUUGGGUCUUUGUCAUGACAAUUUUCGUUGUGGUCUUAAUUCCUGAGACCAAGGGUGUCCCUAUUGAAGAGAUGACAGAAAGAGUUUGGAAGCAACACUGGUUCUGGAAGCGAUUCAUGGAUGACGUAGAAGAUGAUCCUAAGGGCAAGUUGCAUGCUUGAACUAUCUGAAUUCAGAUAGUUUAUUAUCUGCUUGGUGGUUUAUUAGAUUUUAUAAGUUCCCUGAAUUUGAGGCUUAAUAGUUCUUCUUUGGUUCUAGUAGCCUCACAACACGCGCCCUCUGCUUGCCAAAUAAUCUGCUAAUUUAUUUUCUGAGAGGCAAUAUUUGAACAAAAUGUAUUCCUGCAGGCUCCUCUUGGAUUACAUUUCAUUCUUUUGAUUUCGUUUAUCAAUUCAAUUGUCGGAACUGCCCUCUUUCUAUCUGCAUGGAUUUUGAUGAAUUGUGUUUUUCUUAAAGCAAACUUGUCAAAAUGAAGAGGAUAACAAGAAAGAAUGUUUAUCCCGAGAGAGAUGUUUUUGAGCUCUCCUCUCUCUCAACAAAAUGAAAGCAUAAGAGAAAGGAGAGCUCAAAAAUGCAUUGCUAAAAUCUUUAAUAUUACGGAAAUAUGAAAAUGUACAAUUGUAGUGAUAUACAAUUGCAAUAAUAUGUACAAUUGUGAUGAACAAAAUUGAAAGAAAAUUUCUAAAGGCAUAAUAAACCAAACAAAAUUAACAACCGCCAUGCAUACGCCGUAAGAUGGUUUAAGCAUUUGCCUGGGCCUUGGGAUUAUCUUCGAUUUCAUCCAUAUAUCACUUUCAAAACCAGUGCUUCUUCCAUACUCUCUCAGUCAUCUCUUCAAUAGGGACGCCUUUCGUCUCAGGAAUUAAAAAGAGCGUGAAGAGAGUCAUGGCGAACAGCGAGUGAACUUUCAUAGAAAAAGGCAUGAUUUAGUCUGUGUCAUGGUCAGGAUCCUUCCCCAUGGCAUGAUCUAUGGUUUUGGUUUUCUUUCUUGAUUGCUCGGUUAGGCAUUAAAGCGAAAUUCGUUGAACUAAAGUUGAUCAAGUCUGUCUAGAGUAAAACUAGAAGGACCACAUUUCCUAACCUCAUCCUGUGGUGGUUAAUUCGUCAACUAGUACAUCUUGCAUAUGUCUUAAAAUGGAUGUUGGCAUGCCACAAGGUGUAUCAAUGCACACAAUAGUUUCCACUGUCAACUAUUUGAUUUGUUUUGAAUAAAAUAUUUAAGACGCACUGUUAACCAGAUCAUGCGUGACAUAACAAUAAAAGAUAAGCCUUACAUUAAUCAGUGAAAAUAACAAUUAUUAAAGCAAUUGACAUGCAGUGUGUAGUCUAUACGCUGCUGACAAGUACUUUGCUUGGAAUGAAAUUGAAGCUACGUUCAAAGGAAGAAAAACAAAGCAAAUGGCAUGGAGGUGCGAGAUGAAGGUCUACUAGAACUAAACAAGAACUCCUAAAACUUAAAUUCGUGGAAAUUGUAAAAUCUAAGAACCCUGCAGGCAAGGAUAAGUGCUUUAAGCAUUUGCCUGGGCCUUGGGAUUAUCUUCGACUUCAUCCAUAUAUCGCUUCCAGAACCAGUGCUUCUUCCAUACUCUCUCAGUCAUCUCUUCAAUAGGGACACCUUUUGUCUCGGGAAUUAAGAAGAGAGUGAAGAGAGUCAUGGCGAAGACCCAAAUUGCGAAGAACAAGAAAAUGGCAAACAUCAUGUGGCAAAGCAUUGAGAGGAAGGCCUGGGCUAUAAUAAAGGUGAAGAGCAUGUUGAAAAAGACAGCCACACUUUGGCCGGCUGAGCGAGCAUCUAGUGCGAAAAUCUCACUAGGAAUCAACCACCCAAGAGGUCCCCAAGACCAUGCAAAGGAUGCAACGAAACUGCACACGAAAACCAGCACAAGAAUUCCCAAGCCAUGGCCGAGGUUGUUCACGUCGUCCUUAAGUUUGAUUCCGAGCACUACUGUAAUCACAAUUUGAGAAAGGAACAUUUGAACACCCGCUUCUAGCAGGAGCACGCGGCGACCAGCUCUGUCCACAAAGUAGAUUGAUACAACAGUUGAGAGGACAUUGACAGCUCCUGUUAUGGCGGAUGAGUAAAGGGAAGCGUCACUCUUAAAUCCCAAGGUCUUGAACAAAACGGGAGCGUAGAACAUAAUUGCAUUAAUGCCAGUCAAUUGCUGGAAAAUCUGUAUGCACGUACAAACAUAACAUGUCAGACUAUCUAAUAAUAUGUGAUUGUGAAAACUUGUUAACACAGCAAUAGGCUAUAGUCGCAGCACCUGCAUGCAAAUUGCAAUGACCAGUUGAGGCCUGUUUCUGCGCUUAAGGAGAUUUCUGAAGGGAUGCUUCACUUCAUUAGCCGCACGACUGGCCUCAACAAUUUCUAAGAACUCUGGUUCGACGUUGUCAACACCGCGAAUCUUUUUAAGAAUGGCUUUCCCUUCCUCCAUCUUACCGCGAGCAAUCAAACUGUUAGGAGUGUCUGUUACAAUGAGAGACCCCAUGGUUAACAAGAGUGCUGGAAUGGCAGCUAAACCCAGUGAUAUCCUCCAUCCAUUUGGCCCUGACAUUCUGCAUGCAGUUGGUACAUAGCACAACUUCAUUACACCUUAUAUGUGAUUAAUAUUUAUAACUAGCUAAUAAUUAAUUAUAUUGGCUUAAUUACUUGGAAGUUCCAUAGUUGAUCAUGUUUGCUACAAGAAUGCCAAUGGUGCACAUCAGCUGGAAGAGUAUAUUUAGUGACCCACGAAUUCUUGUGGGUGCAACCUCCGAAAGGAAAAGUGGCACCGCCUGUAAUCAAUCAUAUAGAUAUCCAUUAAUUACAUGGAAUUAAAUUUAUGAAUAUUAUGUGUUCAAACUACAAAUCCUUAUAAUGGAAAUUAAGAUAAGAUUAAGAGUUAAUUAAACCUGGUUUGCAAAACCAACUCCACAACCAAGUAAGAUCCUGCCAAUGAUAAGCAUGGCAAGGUUAACAGCUGCAGCAUUGAAAACUGUUCCGACGAGGAAGAAAAUCCCCGCCAUCAACAUGGUUAGCUUUCGGCCUAGCGAUUUGGUUGUGUAGGACGCAACGAAGGUAGCUACCAAAGCAGCGAGGUACAAUGAAGACGUGAACAGCUGCAAGCCCUGAUUAUCGUAUUUACAGUAAUUGCUUUCAAGUCCAGGCUGGCUGUUCUUCUUAUACACUGUUGGGAAGAAUUCCCUCAGGAACUCCGGCAUGGAUGUAACACCCCCUGCAUGAUCAAUUAUAAUUUGAUCAUUAGACUACAUUAUAAAUUAAUUAUGUUUACAUACGUAGUAUCAAAUACUUUUAAUCAUUUGUGUUUUAAGUAUAUAACCAUUUGCAUGCAUGCAUGCAUGAGAACAUAGCUAGCUAUCUCUUUGCUACAUACGUACGUACCGGAAAUACCAACGUCAUAACCAAACAUGAGGCCUCCGCUGGAGGCCAAUAUGCAAGAAAUGAUCACAAGAGGUGUGAUCUUUGCCUCAAAGUCUCCUCCUCCCGUCCCGGUCCCAAAUCCACCACCCGCCAUGGUUUCUGCUUCUUAAUCAAUUUAGAACUCGAACUUACUUCGCUACACUUUAUUUCUUAUAGUAUCUAAUUACACAUAAGUAUUUUGCAUUUAUUUAUGUAUAUAUAUCUACUAGAUGACCCCUAUCAAACUGAAGAAGAAAAGGAAGAAGAAGAGACUUUGCUCGGUGAAAUGAGGUGUGUGUUCUUCAGGGGCUUAUAUAUACCAGACGACCUGAAAAUCUAAAGGCGACAGAGAGUGAACAACGUUGAAAAUGGAUGACUGUCGUGACUUAGUAAGUUCCAUGGACAAGACCUUACCACAUGGCAUGGUCAACUGUUGUUCUAUACUCUUCAUUCUUCUUGCUUUGCUUAGUCUUAGUCGUGUCCAAGAUAUAUAUUUAGACAACCCAAAAUUAUCCAGCUAAAAUUGUCAUAUCGAGUCAUU